UGUAUCAAAUAUGUCAUAUUAGUUUCAUUUCAUACUUAUAACCAAUUUAAACAUCAUUCUACAACCGUAAUAACAAAACUUUUAUUCUUAACCUAUACAUCACCUAGGUACAUGCCACAUUAUCAAACAAAGGUACAACACUAAAAUUUCUCUGAGUUCGGGAUUGCUCUGGAUGCUGGACCGGACACUGACUUUUUACUAACCUGCGCUCGGAGACAACCGCACGCUGAGUAUAGAAAUACUCAGUGGUAUUACCAUAAUUCAAAUUAAUAACAUUAAUCGAUAAAUUAUAUACAUUUAAAUUUAUGUCUACAAUUAUUCAAUACAUUUUCUCGUACUUUAAAUCAACCUAAUAAUUAAUAACAAGAAGCAAUAUUUCAAAUCUUGUAUUUAGUUGUAUUCAUACCUUAUUUCACUAUCUCAAUUCUAUUGGAUUUUUCGACAUCUCAUUCUAAUAAUUCAUUCCAAUUCAUACAAAUUCAAUCAAUUUAUCAACUCAUUCAUUAUCAUUUCUAUUUAUAUUCAAUUUAUACUUUUCAAUCUUUUAAUAAUCAAAUUAAACAUUUAGACCAACAUGUUUCAAUAAUAAUAAUAACUAAUUUUAUAAAAUUUGUAUUCAAAUUAACUCAUACACUAUUUCUUAAUUCAAUUUAUACCAUUAAUCUUUCAAUAAACAUUUAAUACAUUAAAUCAACUUGUUUCAACAACAGUAAUANNNNNNNNNNNNNNNNNNNNNNNNNNNNNNNNNNNNNNNNNNNNNNNNNNNNNNNNNNNNNNNNNNNNNNNNNNNNNNNNNNNNNNNNNNNNNNNNNNNNNNNNNNNNNNNNNNNNNNNNNNNNNNNNNNNNNNNNNNNNNNNNNNNNNNNNNNNNNNNNNNNNNNNNNNNNNNNNNNNNNNNNNNNNNNNNNNNNNNNNNNNNNNNNNNNNNNNNNNNNNNNNNNNNNNNNNNNNNNNNNNNNNNNNNNNNNNNNNNNNNNNNNNNNNNNNNNNNNNNNNNNNNNNNNNNNNNNNNNNNNNNNNNNNNNNNNNNNNNNNNNNNNNNNNNNNNNNNNNNNNNNNNNNNNNNNNNNNNNNNNNNNNNNNNNNNNNNNNNNNNNNNNNNNNNNNNNNNNNNNNNNNNNNNNNNNNNNNNNNNNNNNNNNNNNNNNNNNNNNNNNNNNNNNNNNNNNNNNNNNNNNNNNNNNNNNNNNNNNNNNNNNNNNNNNNNNNNNNNNNNNNNNNNNNNNNNNNNNNNNNNNNNNNNNNNNNNNNNNNNNNNNNNNNNNNNNNNNNNNNNNNNNNNNNNNNNNNNNNNNNNNNNNNNNNNNNNNNNNNNNNNNNNNNNNNNNNNNNNNNNNNNNNNNNNNNNNNNNNNNNNNNNNNNNNNNNNNNNNNNNNNNNNNNNNNNNNNNNNNNNNNNNNNNNNNNNNNNNNNNNNNNNNNNNNNNNNNNNNNNNNNNNNNNNNNNNNNNNNNNNNNNNNNNNNNNNNNNNNNNNNNNNNNNNNNNNNNNNNNNNNNNNNNNNNNNNNNNNNNNNNNNNNNNNNNNNNNNNNNNNNNNNNNNNNNNNNNNNNNNNNNNNNNNNNNNNNNNNNNNNNNNNNNNNNNNNNNNNNNNNNNNNNNNNNNNNNNNNNNNNNNNNNNNNNNNNNNNNNNNNNNNNNNNNNNNNNNNNNNNNNNNNNNNNNNNNNNNNNNNNNNNNNNNNNNNNNNNNNNNNNNNNNNNNNNNNNNNNNNNNNNNNNNNNNNNNNNNNNNNNNNNNNNNNNNNNNNNNNNNNNNNNNNNNNNNNNNNNNNNNNNNNNNNNNNNNNNNNNNNNNNNNNNNNNNNNNNNNNNNNNNNNNNNNNNNNNNNNNNNNNNNNNACCUUAAAUGCGCAAUCACUCGGACAAUGAUAUUGCACGACAUUAGCUACGUAAUUAAACAAUUAAAAAUCAUUAAUACACAAUUUCAUUAAAAUAUUUCCAUUUAUGCCUAAACUUCACCUAAAUUCUAAUUUAAUCCCUUAUCAAUACUAAUUUUAUUUUUCCAAUCUAACUCCAUAUUCUCUCUUAAUUCUUACUAUAAAUUCACUUUAACUCUUCAUUUUCACCAUAAAUCCAUAAUUUCGAAAUUCUCUCAAUUUAGUCCCUAUUAAUUCAAAGCCUAUAAUUUAUUUUACAAAUCAACCUUUUACUAACUUCUAACUUGAAAUUUAAUCAAUUUAACCCUUAAUCCUUUCAUUUAUUCAACAUAAUCAAUGUCUAGAAAUAUAAUAACUUCCAAAAUUUCAACAUAAAUCCAAUAAUACUUUGUUCUAGGACACCACACACUCAAAAAUUAUAAGAAAAUGACUUAAUUUAACUUACCAAGUGAGUUUGGAAUCUUAAAAUCCCAAAUUUUCUUCCUUUCCUUCCCUUUUUCUUUUUUCUUUCCUUUUCUCCCCUGUUUUCGUUUGCCUAUUCUGUUUCCAUUUCUCUUUUUCUAUCUUUUAUUUCUUUUAUUUAAUUAGGUUUAAAUAUAAUAACAAUAAAAAUAAUAAUAUGAAUAUUACUUACUUAAAUAAUAAGUAAAUAUGUAAUCAUUACUAAUAUAUGUACUUCAUUUUUUCCGCAUAGUCACCUAUAACUAUUUAGUUGUCAACAAUUUUUAUUUAUUUAAAAUAUAAUAAUAUAAUAUAAUAAAUAUAAUUUACAAUAUAAUAAAAUAAUAAUUUACUUUAAAAAAAAUCUCACAUUUUAUCAUGCAUAUGCCGCCUCAUUUAUGGGACUUGGCAUAUUUACCUAUUUAGUCCUUUUAACUUUUCUUUAAUCUAUAAUUAAACUUUUACCCCUGUUGCAAUUUAGUCCUUUUUAAUCAAUUAACCAUCGGAACAUUAAAAUUUCUUAACGAAACUUUAAUACUACCUUAAUGACACUCCGUAAAUAUUUAUAAAAAUAUUUACGACUUAGUUUAUAAUAUCUAAGUCUCGAUACCUCAUUUUUGACCCAAUUACCUAAUAAUUUCUUUUAAAUCACAAAAUUCACUAAUUCUAAAAUAUUUCUAAAAUCACACUUAACUUAUAAUUAUUAAUUAAUAAAUUUUUCUAACUUUUUCAUCAAAUUUAGUGAUCUUAAAUCAUUAUUCUGACACUACUGAAAAUUGAGCUGUUACAAAAGGAGAUGAUUGAAAUCAUGGAUUAUAAAGAGCCAGGGCCCAAUACGAACCCCAGAAGUAGUUACAUAUUCGGCCCUCCUCCCCAACCACAACCUUAGCCUUUAUUAUGUAUGUUUGAAUGUAUUGCAGAAGCAAACCAUUGAGAUGGUUUUACAACUUAGGAUUAGACAAUGUAUGUUCUAUGUUACAUGAAAAUGACACCUUGGUCUUUUAUUACAGUAAAUGUUAUGUGUGCUUGAUUGCAAGAACCCAAUAAUCUAUUGACUUGUAAUUGCAAUUAUUACUCCUGAUUGGUUUGAAUUCUGUCUAAGAGAUGUCACUGUUGAACAACCAUUGACAUCACAAAGAUAGUUUAACUAUGAGUCAUUCCUCGGUCCAGCCAAGUUUAGAUAAAAUGUAAACUUUAAAAUUUAUUUAUAUAUAUAUAUAUAUAAGUUCAUUUAGUGAUUAAUUUUAGCAUUAAAAUUUAAUGGUUUAACUAAAAUUUUCAUAAAUAAUUACUGAAUGAAUUCUUUUAUAUAAUAUUUAACAAUUAUAUAUUUUAAAAAUUUAAACAGUUAUAAUAUAUAUUUGAUGUUUAUAUUAUGUUAUCAUAUAUUCAAUUUUUAUGUAAAUAAAUUACAUAAAAGCAUUAGAAAAUAGAUCUCACUUGAAGGGAAACUGAAGCGACAUAAUUUUUUUGGUUUAAAUUCAUAUUUUUAGUAUAAAUUUUUAUUCCUCAAAUAUUGAACAGACAAUUUUAUAUAACUACAGUUUGGCAAUGAAAGACUGCUUUGAAAUUUAGUGUUACCAUAUAACUUUGGACUUGAAAAGAGAAAUAAAGGAUGUGAAGAUUGGAAUUUAAAACAUACGAUUAUAUCACUUAAAAUUUAAAUAAUAUAAAUGAAAAGAAACUAACAGUAGUACAAUAUUUUAAAUUAUCUUCUAAAUAUUUAUAGACGAUCCAUGAGACCAAAAAGGUUGGAAGAAUAGGUUAUAAAAUUAUCUCCCACUUUCACUCCACGGCCUAACUUCUUUUAUUUAUUUCUUAUUACUCGCUCGGAGUCAAUAUUUGCAUAUACCAACAGCGCAAGCAAAUACUUUAUUUUGCAUAUUACAUUUUCCUCUAAUCAUCAUGUUAAAAUUUUUAUUUCUUUCCGAUUCGAUUUUAUCCAUCAAUAGAUUUAUAAAUUUGUCGAGGAAACAUUCCAAAAAAUCUUUGAAGUAUCUACAUUUAGAAUCGAUAGUUUUUUAUCUUGUCUUCGAAUUGAGUCGAAGUUUUAUAUCUUGUUGAAUCAAAACUGGUGUCCAUUUGUCAUCGGACGUAGGGUUUAAAUCCAAGCCUUAAAUGGUAUUAAUGGGCAUAUGUGCUACCACUUUUACACGUUGGAAUGUCACUUUAUAACCUCACCUCAACUCGAGGGGGAGGCAAUUGUUCUAGAUGCCUCGCCAUCUAGGCUUUUCCACCACAAUGUCGACUUACAACAACCUCAAGCACCUUGAUCUCGUCAAGAGCAACACUUUGCCAGGGUAAAACUUUGAGAACUCACAUGCGUAACACAUGGAAACUCCUUUGAUCAACUUCAUAAGGAUAGGUGUUGAGAGUUUUCUCUUACAUGGCUCACACGUGGAGCCUCAUCUAUCAGAUCUCCAUCCCAUCAUUGCCUAUUUAGAAGGCUACCAUGCUUCUCAAGUGGUCGACCAUAAUGAGACUUGUGCCAUAAACGUGCCAAGGCCCCUUCUCUAUUCUUGAGAAAACACCUCUCUCUCUUUCUACUUGACUACUUUACUAAAAAUAUCAUAAAUUUUUCUUUAGAGUUCUUUGCACACUAUUGUGUGAACCGUGAUUCAAAUAUCUUACUAUUGUCUUUUGAACACAGUUAAAUUAGAAAUUUCAUAAAAUUUUAAAAUUAGAGUAAACAGCCCCAAUGAAGGGCCAGGAAAGGGGCGUUGACAUGGUUCCUAGGUAUCAAUUUUAAAAUUUUUAAAAAAAUUGUUAAUAUGAUUUCACUGUAAAAUAAUAAUCCCAGAACAAGUCAAUUGGUAGUGGAAAAGGGAAAAAGUAAUAAACCGCCUACAAUAUUUCAUAAUCACUUCCAAGAAAUUUGAUUAUCCUAAGUAAACAAACAAAAAGUCCAUUCACAAAGCCCUUUUCCAACAACAUAGCCGGCUGCAGGUUCCAAGCAAGAAACGACACACAUUCCAUGUAAAAUAAAAGACACGACAAAAAGGUAGCCAAGGCCGAACCCCAUACCAAGUUUCCUAGGUGGUCUCUUGGUUGCACCAUAGGCAACUUCCCCUUCUCUUAACCGCCCUUUGAAAACUUGACCAGGUCUAACAUCUCUGUGCCUUCAAAUACCCCGUUCCCAACCUCACCAUUUCAUCAAAAUUCAUUCAUUCUUUUUACUCUUUCUUUUACAUAUUUGUAAAUCAAAAUAGUUUUAGUUUUUUGGUCUUACUCUUACAUAAUGGAGACAUCAUCACUAAACUCAAACUAUACCCUUUUUCCAUUGAUUGAUAUCAGUAUGAUCUUGUUGUUUCUUAGCUUGACAUGUCAUGACAGGUUUAGGAGUUUCAUCUCCAGAUAUUAUUGGUCUUUCCCACAAUCCAAACAUGGCAGCUCAAAGACAUCAUCCUCAAGUCGGGAGAAAACCCAGAAUUAUGAGUGCCUAAGCAAAGAGGCUUCAUUUAAUAAUAAUAAGGAAGAUUGUGCGAUAGUUUGCAGAAAAGAUGUGGAGAAGUUUAUGGGAAAUCUGGGAAUUUUUUGCAGCCUAGAAAGUGAGGAGCUACAGGAAUCCUAUGGUUCUGAUGAGCUUUCCAGGCUGUUUGAGGAAGAAGAGCCAAGCUUGAAAGAGUUGAAGGAGGCUUUUGAUGUCUUUGAUGUGAACAGAGAUGGGUUUAUUGAUGCACAAGAGCUGCAGAGAGUUCUCUGUAUUUUGGGUUUGAAGGAAGGUUUAAAAGUGGAUAAUUGCAACAAAAUGAUCGAAAACUUCGAUGAAAAUAGAGAUGGAAGAAUAGAUUUUCAGGAAUUUGUAAAAUUCAUGGAGCACAGUUUUUGCUGAAUCAGUAUAAUAAUAUUCAGAUACACUGAUUAUUUUACUUACAUUUCUUGCUAUGUGGUUUAUUUGAUUUUUUUCAGUUUUCAUUUCUUUUGGUUUCAAUUGUGCUUAUGAAUUUUUAGACUGACAAGUGAAACAAAUAUCCCGAAUCAAAAUCUCAUGUAUUUGAAGAGUACUUGAAAAAUUCUAUACUUAUAUCAUAUGUAAAUAUUUAUCAAACAUGAAUACUUUAAAAAAUGAAAAGUAGAAAGAUGUUGAGUAAUGAGUAUAUACCAAAAAAAAAAAAAAAAAAAAAACCUCUGAACUCAUUCUUUCUACAGAAAGCAACUAUAAGUGACAAUGAAAAGGAAGCCAACAGAUGAAGGUUCUAAAAAGUUUAGAGAAUAAAUUUGUUUCCAGAAGCAAGAAUUGAAAUCCGUCAGAGGAAGGAACACUUUGCAUCUCACUUAGUUUGGCAUAUGGUAAAAGGCCGCUUUUCGAUCUCUAGUUCCUGAAAUAUGGGAAUAAUUGUUGAUUCUUGGACUCAUACAUGUACUUGAACGUCAGCUAAGAGGACCAUGGCCUUAAAGAUAUAACCGCACAGGUAGGACUGGCGCAUUAGUUAACUGGAUAUAAAGCCUGACAUUGGAAUCAAUGACCUAAAGAAAAUAAAUCUAUUCAUAAGUUAGUUAAUUAUAAAUUAUAAUAAAGGCAUGCUCUAAAACAGUUUUAAGAUCAUCCAUUGAGAUACUUACAGGGAUCCAGGUAAAAAGAAUGAGAGUCAACGAUCCCUGGCUGUCUUGGAGAUAGGAGUGGAGUCUUUGUCCUGUAAGCUAUAGGACAUACAAAUUUUGUUCUCCAUCCAUCCAAGAGUAAUGGUCAGUGAAUCUAUUACCAGUAAUCUGCACAUGAACAGCAUCCAUUUUGAAAACUGUGGAAGCGAUUUGCAUCUCUCACGAUGAUCAUACUGUUUGUGAGCUUAGAAAUAAGUUUUGCAGCUGAGUGGCAAUCUUCACACAUUCUAAGGUUUUUAAACACACGAAUAGGUGCCUCUAAGGGAGCAUGCAUGAGUCCAUAUGCAAUGGCCAGUUUCUCGCUGUGAUAACUAAGAUAGUCUUCCUUCUGCUCUUCCUCCACAUCAUGCAACACUGCAGUAACAUCUGGUAUAUAUCCCAGUGGCUUAAUCCUGGCUAAAAGUUCUUUUACUUUCUCAUAAAUUUGAGUUGACUCUGGGUGUUGACAGUCAUCCGAAACAAAAACAUGGGUAACAUUUCUUAUCUCUAUCCAGCUUACACCAGGUUCUUUCUUGAUAUUUCUCUCUCUCAUCAAUUUUCGGAUCUUCACUACUCCAUCCCACCUCUUUGCCUUUGCAUAAAUAUUAGAUAAUAGUGUAUAUGUUCCCACAUCAUUAGGGUCCAUCUCUAACACAAAUUCUGCUAUACGCCUCCCAAAACCAUAAUUCCGAUGUACAUGACAGGCACUGAGCAAUGUACGCCAAGCAAUGACAUCCAAUUCUACUGGUAUAGACCUCAAAAGUUUCUCAGCCUCAUCAAGAAGUCCAGCCUUGCUCAGCAGCCCAACAACACAGGUGUAGUGCUCCAACCCGGGUUCUACUCCAACCUGUCUCAUGAAUUGGUUCAAGUAGUAUAAACCUUCUUUUACUAGACCAAGAUGGCUACAAGCAGAAAGAACCCCCACAAAGGUAACAUAGUUAGGACAUUCUCCUGCAGCCAACAAGUCAUUAAACAAAGCCAUAGCCUCCUUUCCUAGCCCAUGAUGAGAAUACCCGCAUAUCAUGGCAUUCCAAGUAAUGCAGUCUCGAUACAUCAUAUCUAAAAAAACUUUACUUGCUGCUUCAAUGUCACCACACUUCGCAUACAUGUUGAUCAAAGCAUUUCCAACGAUAACAUGGUCCUUAAAACCUGACUUUACAAUUUCUCCAUAUAGUACGUUUCCAUGUCUUAGUGCGGACAAUCCUGCAGUAGAGUUUAACAUAACCGCAAAAGUAAACCCAUUAGGUGAAACAUCACCAAUUUUCAUCUCAGAAAACAGAUUUAGUGCUUCCUCAAAGCAUCCAUUUUGAAAGUAUGCAGCCAUGAUUCCAGUCCAUACAACUACAUUUUUAACUUGGAGACAAUCAAAAGUUUUCCUGGCAUUGAUAACCUUGCCGCAUUUCCCAUACAUAUUAAUGAUUGCACUAUUAACAAAAACAUCCAACUCCACAUCACUUGUCAAAAUCCUACAAUGCACUUGCAAGCCCAACUUUAAAUCCUUAAGACAAGCACAAAGUCCAAAGACAGUAACAUAAGUUACACUAUCCCACUCUACACUCUCUCCCAUCAGCCUUUCCAAAACUUGAAUUGCUUCAUUCGAGAACCCUUGUUGCACGAGUCCAUUUAGAACUAAAUUAUAUGAAUAAACAUCAUAACCAGGCACUAAACUAAAAACCCUCAUAGCUCCUUUAACAUCAGAAAACUUUGAAUACAUAUUUAUCAAUGCAUUCUUAACAUAUUGAUGAAAAACCAACCCGGACUUGACCACAUAACCGUGACACUGUCUACCCUCUAAAGCCUUCCCACCGUCAGAACAAGCUGAAAAAACAACCGCGAAAAUAUACUCAUUAGGCCUCAAACUAUCCACCAAAGUCAUAUCUUUGAACAACUUUAACACUUGCAAUGAAAACCCGGUUUGCAAAUAUCCUGCCAUGAGGGAACACCAAGAAACCAAGUUUCUCUCAGGCAUUCUAUCGAACAGUUUCUGGGCAACCGAAAUUUGGUUACUUUUGGCGUAGACAUUGAUUAAGGAGUUUAAUGGGUAUCUGUUAGAUCGAGUGGAGGUUUGAUUGGUUACUAGUAAAAGGGAAUGGAGUAUUUUGGCUAAUAUUAAGUUGUUUGUAUCAGCUGAAACUUUUAGGAGCUUAAUUAUGUGGUUAAGGUGUAUAAAGGUUGUUGGUUUGAAUAAAACUUGCGCCACUUGGUUACCUGCUGGUUUUAGAGCGCGCAUUUUCUUUUGGCUGGGUUUCUUCUUAAACAGCUCCACUGUCUUUUGUUACCAUCCCCGGAUCUUUUGUGAUUAAUUUUGAGGUGUUCAUGAUUUCUUUUUUAAAAUUCUAGCUUAGGAUCCUUUCAAUAUAUAUAUAUAUAUAUAAAUAUCAAAUUAUUUGUUCCACUCAAUAAAUUUACCCUCUACUAGCCCCGCAUCACACCACUUUUCUUGUUUUCCAAAUGAAAUUACUAUUUCCUGAUUCACCACAAUUCCUUUUACCUUUUUAUUUUUAAAUUUCCAAAUGAAAUAUACACUUUUAAUGAACUGAAAAAACUCUAAAAAUUAUCUUUUUUUUUCUUUAACACGUUUGCUUUUUAUCUUUGAGUUAGCUAUCGUCCUCCUUUUUCCUUUCCCAUCAACCUUUUCUUUCUUCCUUCUUCUCAGUCACAACACGUCUUAUCUAUUUUAAGUUUGUAAAUUUAUUUUGCGGGUAUCUUUAUUGUCGUCACAAGUUGUGAUGGACAGACGACGGUCCUGUCAUUCGUUAAAAUUCCACCGGCCACCAGUAGUUUUUCUUGGAAAGCGGGUGGCUCUUCGUCAACUUCUUAACCUAUUUCUGUUUUGAGAGUAUUUUAAAAUAAUAAAUGAUUUCAAGUGUCAAUUUCAACCGGUGUUGUCUUAAGUUAUAUAUAUAUAUAUUUGUUUGUUUUUCUAUUGUUUAAUAAGUCUUCAGUUUUAGAAGUUUUUGUAUGCUCUUGUAGCACGUUUUUUAGUUUUACUUAUGCAUGUAAUCUUAGUUUUACAAGUGAUUUUAGGGAUGAUUUUGUUAUCGUCCUCUCUAGUUUGGCGAAUGCUCAAUUUUUGUUCGUCACUUUGAACCAUUCGGGGUUGAUUUCCUUAUCAUAUUAAGUGUUUGCAAUCACUCCAGAUAUGUCGUGCUUCAGUUGUGAUAAAGCCAAUUGUCAACGUGUCAUAAUGUUCUAUUAAUGCUGAGGCUAAAGCCUUUAUUGUGUUGGUGGCGCUUGUCCUUAACCAUCUAUGAUGAGUGUUUGCUAUUUUUUCUCUAAAUCGUAUCGUUCUAUUUAUUGAAUGGAUUGCGAAUUUACCUUUCAACAUAUUUGUGAUUAUAUAAAAAAAAUACAUGAUUAAUUAUUUUUAAUUCAUCUAAUAAAAAAUAAUUAAAUAUUUUAUAAUAUGAUAUUAUUUAUCUAUAAAUUUCAAUAGUUUAAAUUAUGGAUAGAUACCAAAAUUACAUAAGAACUUAAGUUCAAUGUGCAAUGUAAUUUUGAUUUUGUACAGUUUUAUACAACAUGUUAAUUUGAUUCAGUCUUCAUAAAUAACUAACAUAAUUAUCGAUAUACUAUCAUUUUACGUUUGUAUAUUACAUACACAAAUAAUUAUAUUUAUCUAAUAUAUAUAAAAAUAAAUUGAUGUAUUCAUUUCAUUAAAUGUUGAUCAAAAUCAAAGUUUUAUGUGUACAUUUGAAUCAAAAUUAAAGUGCAAUGUAUAUAAUUGCACAAAAUCAAACUUCAUGUAUCAAUUUGCACAUUAGAUAAAUUAAAAUUGAUGCAUAAUUUUGAUAUUAAUAAAAUAAUACUUUCUAUUCCUAAGUGAAAUAGCUAUUGAGAUUAUAUCAUGUAACUGUGUUAUACAGAAAAUAAUAUGUAUUAAACAAAUUUAAAUUCCUAUACAAAUUACAAUUAAAUUAUAUUCAAACGAAUGAAAAUUCCAAUUUUCGAAAACAAAUAAUAUAAAUUCUAUUCUUAAAUUUUGGUUAAUUUAAAUUAUUAAAAAGAGUAAAUAAAAAUUUAAAUUUAAAUUAUAAAUAUAAUAAAAUUACCUCAUCGUCAAUUAAAUGAUCUAUCAUCUCUCCCUAAUAUAAUUUUCAUUCAAAUAUGAUUUAAUAUUUAUUUUUCGAAAAACUAUAUAGUUAAUUAGAGGUGGCAAUCAAGCUGUUCAUGUCAAGUUGUUUCAAGUUUGAAUUAUUUUAAGUUUAAUCUCCGAAUACGAUUUAGAUUUAGUUUUAUGUUACAUUUGAUUUUUUUUUUUGGUGAAAAAGACAAACAACUCAUAUUAAACAGUCAUAAAAAAAAUUUGAAAUUCUAGUAAUCACUACCAUCUUUUAUGGAAUUUUUGGAAAUACUUGAAGAGUUGAAUUUCUCUUUCAAGCUAUUUUUGCAAGACUAUCUGCAAUUUGAUUUCUCUUUUGGUUUAUAUGCUUGAUUUCCCAUUGUUCUAUAACUUGUAAAUGGAUUCUUCUAACCAAGAUCGAAGUUAACUCAAUCAUAUGGAUGCCUUGAAAAAUUUUGAUUACCUCCAAAUUGUUUGUGUGAAUGAAAAUCUUCUUAUAUCCCUCCUUUUAAACAAAUGUUAAGCCAUCUACAAUUCCCUACAGUUCAGCAUCAAAGACUGAGCAUAAACCCAAAUACCGAUUAUAUCCAGCGAUUCAUUGACCAUCUUAUUUGUACACUACCCCUCCAACAACAACUCACCUCGCAUUCAACUUUACAACCCCAUCAUUUGAUAUAUUAUUUGAUAAUAUAUUGUCGAAACUAUUUUUUAAAAACAAAAAUUUGGUCAUCGACUUAAAAAUGAAAAUUGGAGUCGCCACCGAUCUUUUAUUGAAGUGUGAUCGGAUCACCUUGAAAACGAUUUUGGUCUACGAAUUUCAGAAAAAUGAGUUCGUGAGUCAAUUACAUACGAGGAAGGGUUAGCACCCUCUUAAUGCCCAAAAUUAGUACCUAAUUGAUUAUUUAACGUCUUGAGGUUGAAUGUCGAAAAAGGUUAAAGUGCGAUUCCCCUUUUAAAAUCUUUAUUGAAAUUUAUUAUUUUGAAAACUAAAAAAUUUAGCCAUCUUGCUUCAAUGAAGAAAUCAAAACCCCGUAAGUUAGGGCAUGAUUCUUUGAAGUUCCUAUGACAACACACGAAUUUGCUUUUAUCAAAAAUCUCGUCUCAAGAUAACAAAAUGUUAGGCCCAGUGAGUUAGGAUAUAACAUUUCGAAUUCUCGAGAUAAGCUUUGAUUUGAAAUUUUUACGUUUGGAUUGAAAAAAAUGAUACCCGGGUACUUAAAUUCAACGAGGAAAAUUGAAGCCCAGUAAGUUAGGGCACAAUUCUCUUUGAAAAUCUAAGAUACCGAGUAUUGCCUUAUUUUAUAAAUCCUUGAAUGAAAAAAAGUAAGGUGAUUAAAUGACAAUAUGCAACGCAAAAGGAUAACUUGUAAAUAAAUCACACAUUAAUCAAAUGAGCGGAAGUUAUAUACAAGCAAGUAAUACACAUAGCAACAAUAAUCUCAUGUAAAUACCCACAUUGGCUGAUAAGAGAAAACUAACUAAAAUCAAGUAAUUUUAUAUAAACACUAACGAAAUAUACAAAUUUAAAUAUAAUUUAAGAAAUAAAUAUAAUAUAUAAAUUAAAAUAUUAAAAUAAAUUUAAAUAAAUUAACAAUAUUGAAAUGAGUUGAAAUAAGUUAAAGAUGUUAAAAUAUUUGAAAGAGAUAAAAUAUCUAUAUAAUAAUACGAAACUAACAAUAGAUUAUGUACGUAUGUAUGUACAAUCAAAAUAGUUUAAUAUAAAUUAUGUAUAUAAAAAAGAUUUUAAUAUAUAUAUACAUUUAAAAGAAAACUCACAAUUAAUAAUUAUUAUAAUAUGAAAACAAUAAUAGAUAUAAAGUAAACAUAAUUCAAUGUAAAUUAUAUAUGCAUAUAUAUAAAAUAGUAGAUUAUAUAAAAAAAAAGUAGAUUAAUAUUAAACCAAUUAAUUUAAUUAAAACUAAUAGAAAGAAAGGACUAAUUUGCAAUUAAAACAACAAUUUAAGGGGAAAAUAUAAAGUAAAUAAAACGGAAAUGGACCAAAUGGAACACGCGAAUAACAGUGGAGGACCAAAAGGAAAAUUAAUCGCGUCUUCCUGAACGCUGUGUUUAGUACAGAUCGAAUUGAAACAAAAAUAAAACAUUUAACAAAAUUUAAAAGAAAUAAAAAUUUUGAUUUAAACAUACUGUGAAAAACAGGGGGACCAAUUGCGCAAAUUUCCCAUUUAGGGCAAGAACGUGCAGACCCUGCUUGCGGGUCGGGUCAAUGCGCAGAUCCUACCAUCACCAAAUGGCUCCGUUUUGCUUAUAUUAUUAAAACCAAAAUUUCCUUAAAAAACAUUUUUAUUUCAUUUUCAGAAAACAAAGCAGAGGGGAGGGGGUUUUCUCUGCUAGGGUUUUGACCUUAGCACCUCCACACCGCCGCCGUCAUGCCCACCGUGAAGCCACCACGACCGGCGCUCGGCACCAGGUAAAGCGCUUUUUCCUUUUUAUUAUUUUUUCUUUUUAAAAAAAAGAAACAUGGAUAAAAACCGGAGAAGAAAACUCGAAGAGGAAAGAAAAAAACCAAAUCACCUUCAAAUUCUUUUUGCUUUUUAUUUUCUCAGAUCUUUGUAUUUUUGUUUACACUAAUUUCUUUCUUCCUUUUUGAUUCAAUCUGCCUCCCUUUUACAAAAAAGAAAAACCCUUUUAUCACUUUGUCAUCUUUCUAUUAUGCUAACGUGCCUGCGGUUUGUGGUUUGUUGCUGGAAGAUCGUGCAUGGUGUGAGGGCGACGUGCUGCGAUGUUCGCGGAGGCGUGCGAGGGAGCCGUGCGGCACGCCCUAAGGUUUCUUCCUCCUUUGCGGAAAACAUGUUAUGGGCCUAUUGGGCUAGGGUUUCUGCUGUUUGGGCUAAGUAUUUGGGCCAUUUGUACUGGGUCAUUGGGUUUGCAAUUUUGGGUUAAUGUAAUUUAGACUUUUAAAAUUUGGUUUUAAUUGAAUUUGGUAUUUAGUUUUAUUUAUUUAUGUAUGGGCCCGGGCAAAAAUUGGGCUUUACAUCUGCCCCUCUUUGCUUGUUGACGUGUAACAGGAACGAAGCAAAGACUUUAAAAUGGCCAAUUUUGUCCGGUCGUGCUGGACCUUGGUGCUCUUCUUCUUCUUCAAAUAGCCUCAUUCCUUCCUACUGCAUCUUCGGAGGUAUAGGAACUGGUGCUUCAAUCUCCACCAUAACAUUUAGAGAAAUAGGGUUUGUAAUUCUUCGGGGGAACAUUUGCUAUCUUCAGUCAGCUCCUCUGCAACUUAAAGGAGAUAAGAUUUGUAGCUUCAACUUGUUCCAUUAAAGUUUGAUAAUAUUUGCUCUACUGUAAUUCAUAGAGAUAAAAUCUGUGAUUUUAAUCUGCUCCACUGCAACAUCAGGGAGAUAGGAUUGGUUUCUUCAAUCUGUUUAACUGCAAUGUUAGGGAAACAAGAUUCGCCGUCGUAGCUUCAAUCUAUUCCACUGCACCGCCAGGAAAGUAAGAUUCACCGUUGUGACUUCAAUCUAUUUAACUGCAAUGUCGGAGAAACAAGAUUCAUCUUCGUAGCUUCAAUCUGUUCUACUACACCGCCAAGGAAGUAAGAUUCGCCGUUGUAGCUUCAAUCUAUUUAACUGCAAUGUCGGGGAAACAAGAUUCGCCGUCGUAGCUUCAAUCUGUUCCACUACACCGCCAGGGAAGUAAGAUUCGCCGUUGUAGCUUCAAUUUGUUUAACUGUAAUGCCAAAGAGAUAGGAUUCGUUGCCCAUAGCUUUAAUCCGCUCCACUUCAGCUAAUCCAAGUUUUAACACCAAGGAGAUAAGAUUCACUGCCCUCAGCUUUAAUCUGCUCCGCUGCAACGCCAGGGACACAAGAUUCGCUAUCUUUAGCUUUAAUUUGUAACGUUAAGGUGAUAAGACUGGUGUCUUCGAUCUGCUUUGCUGUCAGUACAGGAAGGCAAGAUCUGCUAUUUUCAACCUACUCCACUGCUACUCAGGGAGACAAGGUUGGUAUCUUCGAUCUACUUCGCUGCCAAUACAGGAAGACAAGAUCUGCUAUUUUCAACCUACUCCACUGCUACUCAGGGAGAUAAGGCUGAGGUCUCACCGGCUUGUUCUCUAGGGAACAUGACCUGUAUAAUUCAAUUUAUGAACCUAAUUAUGCCUAGUGAUUAGGAUGUCAUGAUCAGGAUGAAUCAAAUGCUCCUAACUAGACGUGUAUGAAUGACAUUUGAAUGAAUGUAGAAUAUUAUUUUUUCGAGGAUGAUCUCGCUUAGGUUGUCAUUACUCAAAGUUUAUUAAGAUUUUAUCACUGAUGUGCUACGUCUUCUUCUAGGCUGGCAUCUCCAAAGAAACACUUGAUCAGAUUGCCCCCACUGUAAACUUCAAAGUUCAAUCUACUGGGAUGCAAAAUUUGUACCAUCUUUCUCCCGCUGUAACCCAAGGGUAGAAAAAUCUGGCAUUUUCUCAAUCCUCUCCUAUCGCAAUUCAAUGAUACAGAAUGUGAAACUCUUUGGUAUUUUAUACCAAUUUCAGGGUGUCAUACCAAAUGCCUAUGCACAAAUGAAGGAUUCUCUUCUCCAAGGAAAUCCAUUUUUAUUGUUUGGUGAUUAUUGCUUGCUUGUUCAUCUAAUCCUUGCCACCAACCUAUCAUCUUGUCAUUUUGUUCAAUCAAUGUUUUUGACAACAAAAUCCAAAAAAGAAAGUCCUAAUUUAGACUCUUCCUUCUCAGAUUUCCAACCUUUAAACUUGGUGCGUUCUAAACAAUAGUCCUGUUUUAGGUUACUGUAUUAUCUAGAAACUUUUAGAGUAAUAUGCAAAACUUCCUUUGUGAAAGUUUUAUUGGUCCAUUAAUCAUUAUUCCAAUGCAACUUACUUGCAAAAUGUCAUAAAAAUGAUAAAAAUAGAAUUGAUUUGGGAGCAUGGCUCGAAAUGAAUAGAAUAUCAAUGACAGUAGAAAUAAAAGAAGAAUGGAUUGGGAACACAUAUCUUGAAAAAGAAUGAAGUAUUCCAAGAACAAGCAAUUCAAUAUAAAUAGUAUGAAAACCAGGUGCCCUAGAUAUCGCAGCUUGAAUUUCUCUGUACAAACUUGCUGAAGACCAUUCUAAGUUUGACUUGUGUUUAGGAGAUCUACAGUACUCUGUUGAUGUCCCAAGAUGUUGCAUACCCUUUCCUGCUAAUUCAGGUAUAUCAAGACCACUAUAUGCCCCAUUCUGAUCAAAAUCUGAGUUAUUCUGAUCACUUCCUGCCAUAUUCUGAUCAAAAUUUGAGCCGUUAUUUUCGGGUUUUCAACUCAAAUCCCCUUUGGUCUAAGGCGCAUUUUGCGGGUUUUCACCUUAGCCUCUCCAUUUUUACUUUUUCCAUUUUUCAUUAUUCUUUUUCAUUUUUUCAUUUCAUUUAUUUUUUUUACGACUCAAAGUGCCAUUUGCGGGUUUUUACCUUGGUCCUCUCCUUCUUUAAGCGAAGUAUUUCUUGACUGAAUCUGAGUUUAUAGGAUUAGACAAGUUUUUUACUAUCCAUAUCACUCAAGAUUAGUGCUCCUCCGGAAAAGGUCUUCUUUACAACAUAAGGACCUUCCUAAUUUGGCACGCAUUUUUCUCUAAAAUCCUUUUGUAGAGGAAGGAUCUUUUUCAAUACCAGGUCUCCCUCGUGGAAUUCUCUGGAACGAACCUUUUUGUUGUAAGCUCGCAUCAUCCAUUUUUGGUACAUCUGACCGUGACGAAUAACUUUUAGUCUUUUUCCUUCAAUUAGGUUCAACUGAUCGUAUCAAGAUUGGAUCUUCAUCCUACUUCAGCUCAGCCAAUACCCGGAGAGAAAAAAUUUCAACUUCAAAGGAAAAACCGUGAUAAGCUAAAGAGAAAGGCAUUGCCCUAGUAGAGGUUUUUGUUUCUUUUUUUUGUUUUUUGUUCUUCUUUUGUUCUUUUUUUCUUUUGGAUUGAAUCUGCACUUAUAGGAUUAGGCAAGUCCUGGACAUGCCUUUCGAUCAGAAUCAAUGUUAUUCCAGAUAAAGUCUUACACAUAAAAUCUUCCACUUUAAUUUUGUAUGCAAAAAAUCUUCUUUGGUAUCAGGUUUCUCUCAUAGAGCAUUUUGGGGCGAAAUUUAAUUAUGACAAAAAAAUUUAGAUAUUCCUCUUCAAUUAGGAUGAAAUCCAACAAAGAUACGGAGAAAUGAUAACUUGACUUCAACGGGCAAAACUAUGAUGAGCUAAAAAGAAGGCAUUGCCCCGGCAAAGAAUUCUAACUGCAUCGUUCAUGAUGUUAAUCUUGAACAUACUGCAAAUUUUUUGACGUCGUGCUAUUGCUCAGAUUACAAUAUCAGUGCUUAACCCGAGUAUGUCCUGGUAUGACCAUGCGAAGACAUCUUUGAACCCUUAAGGUAACUCAACAAAGUCUUACUUUGUUUCUCCAGUUAUGCACGUUCCAUUAAGGUCACAAUCUCCAUUAUCUCCUCAGGAGGUAAAAUUUGUUUCUCUUCAUGUUCUACCAUCCUCAACAAGUCCGGAGAUAGGCCACGAUCUAUGUCAUCUUCAAAGUCAUGAGAUCCCUCUAAACACAUGUCUUGCUCAAAAAGAGAUUCUAAAUCUGUAGCAGUGUCACUCAUGACAUUGAUAUCUAGGGACCUAUUAUAGGUACAAAAGAAUAUACAAAGAAUGUAUGAAUUUAUGAAUAGUUAUUGUAUAGUAUGAUUAUGAAUGAAUGAAUGAAUGAUUUGGAAGAAAAUCUAAAAGAAUGAAAGAAUCUAGAAUUAUUCGUAAGGAAUGAAAAUAUUGGCUCAAAAUAAUCACAAUGAUGUAUUUUAUUAAAGUAAUAACAUUCAGACAUGAGCAUAUUUCACAAAGGUGUUCUUAUCACUUCUAGGCUAAAAGCAAUAAGAGUGUUCUUAAUAUUACUCUGAGUAAGCUCUAAAAAUUACAGGAAUUUCCUCCGCAGUCCCAUUAUUUAGAACAUCUCCAAGUUGAUAAGGGUGAAUAUCUACAAGGACCCUUUUAAAUUGUGUCUUCAUAUAUGGCAUUGAUAUGAACAUUUCCCAACACUUCUUCAUACAUUGCAUUCACUCCAUUAUCAAUCAUGAUUGGGUAGCGGAUCAAAUUUGGCAACGCCUAUAUUAAUGAGUCUUUCAACUAUCUUUUUGAAUGCGGUGUAAUUUUCUAUCGAAUACCCCGCAAUUCCUGUAUGGUAUUCACACCGAGCAUUUGUAUUAUACCAUUUAGGAAAUGGGGGCAACAUUGGUUUCAAAUAGAACGGGGACACCACAUGUGCAUUAAAUAGGCUUUGAUAUAGCUCGCUAUAUGACAUCGGUAUAGGCGUGAGCUGAGGCCCUUCUGUAUUUGUCUUCAUGGAAGAUUCUCGCUUUAAAGGGCUCUGAUAGCUAGUAGUAACCGUCUUUAGCUGGCUUGCGGUAAUCAACUUUGAAUAACUCUUGUUAUACCCACUCGUAUUAUUCACCUCAUUUUUCCUUUUCCUUGAGGCCUUUAAAGUAUUGAUUUGGGAGUUCCACUCUCACCCUUUCCGUUUGUAACGAUCUUCAAAUUAUUUUGGGAACUCCACCCUCGCCUAUUCUGUUUUUGCGAGAUCAUUAAUGACAACAGGAUUAGUUAAAUUGCCCAUCGGGCUAGAACUUGAGCCAGUCUAGAAAUUCGCUGGUGUCGACGUGCUGGUCUGAUAUUGGGGUCGGAUGUUAACAAUUACCCUUUGUGGAUUUGCAUUUGGUUGUGCUUGGGUAUUUGUUAGGGUGAAGCCUAGAGGAUAUGUAGGGUCCUCAUUAUCAUCCCCAAAGUGGACCACUGGGCUCUUUUCUCUUUCUAACCCUCUAACCGAUAAUUGGGUUAACUGGCAUAUUAUAUUUCUUUGGAAUUCCAACAACUGAUCCAUCAUAUCUUGUUGAAAUUUGGUCAAUUGCUCAUGCAUCUGUAUUCACAUUUGCUCUAAUUUCUCCAACAUUUGGUCUAUUUCUCUAGUCUUUGCUUGGGUGCCGUAAGGUUGUUGGUUUUCCAAAUUAACUAAAAUAAUUUUACUCAAUUAGGCUCUUUUAAUGAAUUUUAAUGCAUAUGAUGUCAUGUAAUGCAAAUGCAUGAAAUAAAUGCAUAAUAAGACAUUGAUUCUGAUUCAAUUUUAUUUAGAAAACUUCACUAGAAAACAAACUUCUUUACAUAAAACAGAUGCUUGUACGGCAUCGCCUUCAUACUCCAAGAAACAAUGAUCUCUUUCUUCAUCCGGAUGCUUAAGAUAAAUCUCGCAAAUUUCCAAUGAAUACCACUACUAGCUCAUUUUUGCUUAAUCUUGGUUGCAAUCUAUCGUCUGCCCAUCCUCAUAAUACUUAUCAGCUUCUUUAAGGAAGUUGAAAUGUCGACAGCUCUUGAAUAACUAGCUUAAAUCCUUGGGCCACGAAGUAAAGACAUGUACUCCUUUAUCACCCUUUGUUGUGUUUCUUGGAAUAUAUUCGAGCAACUGUAUUAUCUUCCACUUUAUCAAGAAAUUCGUAUUCCAAGACAAGCUCUUUAAUUUAGUAAUCAAACUUGAAUCAACACCUUUUUUCUAAGAUGCAAAUGCAAUGCAAUCAAAGUAAAAACAAAACGAAACAAGUCAGUACAAAACAAAAGCAAUCAAGAAAAAAUAGAGUACCUAUUCGGGUAACCACUAGGGGUUUGGAGUAGUUCUACCUAUGGCAAGUUCCUAAGGUUCACUAUAUGAGGUUUGGCUUCUAGGGCAAAAGUACCCAAACCAGCAGAUUCCUCGAUCCUCACCCGUUAUAGGCUCAUGCGAAUCGAGUUCGGUUCAGAGGAAUACAUUUUCCUAUGGCUACACAGAGAUGAAAAUUUCACGAAUACAUGGUACGGAUGUAUCCCGAAAGCGAUUCACUAUCCUGCACGGAGGUGAAAACCUCACGAAGGACUAGUUUCUCACUCCCACUUAGAGGGGUAAAAUUGAUCAUGAAAUGCAAAAUGCAAAUAAACUAACGGGCUUAGACCAAUUAAGCAAUCAUAGCAUGAUGAAAACCAAUGAAUGCAAAGGGGAAAUCAUGAAUCUUAAAACAAAAUUUGAUUUUUCGACCAAAACACAAAAAUUAAUCAAUUUACGGCUCGACUCUCUAACCAGUCCCCAGCGGAGUCGCCAAGCGGUCGAAACCAUUUCUUGAAAAAAAAUUUGGUCAUCGAUUUAAAAAUAAAAAUUAGAGUCACCACCGAUCUUUUAUUGAAGUGUGAUCGGAUAACCUUGAAAACGAUUUUGGUCUACGAAUUUCAGAAAAAUGAGUUCGGGAGUCAAUUACAUAUGAGGAAGGGUUAGCACCCUAGUAAUGCCCAAAAUUGGUACCUAAUUGAUUAUUUAACGCCUUGAGGUCGAAUGUCGAAAAAGGUUAAAGUGCGAUUCCCCUUUUAAAAUCUUUAUUGAAAUUUAUUAUUUUGAAAACGAAAAAAUUUAGCCAUCUUGCUUCAAUGAAGAAAUCGAAACCCCGUAAGUUAGGGCACGAUUCUUUGAAGUUCCUAUGACAACACACGAAUUUGCUUUUAUCAAAAAUCUCGUCUCGAGAUAACAAAAUGUCAGAACCAGUGAGUUAGGAUAUAACAUUUCGAAUUCUCGAGAUAAGCUUUGAUUUGAAAUUUUUACGUUUGGAUUGAAAAAAAUGAUACCCGGGUACUUAAAUUCAACGAGAAAAAUUGAAGCCCAGUAAGUUAAGGCACAAUUCUCUUUGAAAAUCUAAGAUACCGAGUAUUGCCUUAUUUUAUAAAUCCUUGAAUGAAAAAAAGUAAGGUGAUUAAAUGACAAUAUGCAACGCAAAAGGAUAACUUGUAAAUAAAUCACACAUUAAUCAAAUGAGCGGAAGUUAUAUAUAAGCAAGUAAUACACAUAGCAACAAUAAUCUCAUGUAAAUACCCACAUUGACUAAUAAGAGGAAACUAUCUAAAAUCAAGCAAUUUUAUAUAAACACUAACGAAAUAUACAAAUUUAAAUAUAAUUUAAGAAAUAAAUAUAAUAUAUAAAUUAAAAUAUUAAAAUAAAUUUAAAUAAAUUAACAAUAUUGAAAUGAGUUGAAAUAAAUUAAAGAUGUUAAAAUAUUUGAAAGAGAUAAAAUAUCUAUAUAAUAAUACGAAACUAAAAAUAGAUUAUGUACGUAUGUAUGUACAAUCAAAAUAGUUUAAUAUAAAUUAUGUAUAUAAAAAAGAUUUUAAUAUAUAUAUACAUUUAAAAGAAAACUCACAAUUAAUAAUUAUUAUAAUAUGAAAACAAUAAUAGAUAUAAAGUAAACAUAAUUCAAUGUAAAUUAUAUAUGCAUAUAUAUAUAUAAUAGUAGAUUAUAUAAAAAAAUAUAGUAGAUUAAUAUUAAACCAAUUAAUUUAAUUAAAACUAAUAGAAAGAAAGGACUAAUUUGCAAUUAAAACAAAAAUUUAAGGGGCAAAUAUAAAGUAAAUAAAACGGAAAUGGACCAAAUGGAACACGCGAAUAAUAGUGGAGGACCAAAAGGGAAAUUAAUCCCGCCUUCCCGAACGCUGCGUUUAGUACGGAUCAAAUUGAAACAAAAAUAAAACAUUUAGCUAAAUUUAAAAGAAAUAAAAAAUUUGAUUUAAACAUACUGCGAAAAACAGGGGGACCAAUUGCGAAAAUUUCCCAUUUAGGGAAAGAACGCGCGGACCCUGCUUGCGGGUCUGGUCGAUGCCCAGAUCCUACCCUCACCAAACGGCGCCGUUUUGCUUAUAUUAUUAAAACCAAAAUUUCCUUAAAAAACAUUUUUAUUUCAUUUUUAGAAAACAAAGCAGAGGGGAUGGGGUUUUCUCUGCUAGCGUUUUGACCCUAGCACCUUCACGCCGCCGUCGUCAUGCCCACCGUGAAGCCACCACGACCGGCGCUCGGCACCAGGUAAAGCGCUUUUUCCUUUUUAUUAUUUUUUCUUUUUCUUUUUAAAAGAAACAUGGAUAAAAACCAGAGAAGAAAACUCGAAGAGGGAAGAAAAAAACCAAAUCACCUUCAAAUUCUUUUUGCUUUUUAUUUUCUCAUAUCUUUGUAUUUUUGUUUACACUAAUUUCUUUCUCCCUUUUUGAUUCAAUCUGCCUCCCCUUUACAAAAAAAGAAAAACCCUUUUAUCACUUUGUCAUCUUUCUGUUAUGCUAACGUGCCUGCGGUUUGUGGUUUGUUGCUGGAAGAUUGUGCAUGGUCUGAGGGCGACGUGCUGCGAUGUUCGCGGAGGCGUGUGAGGGAGCCGUGCGGCGCGCCCUAAGGUUUCUUCCUCCUUUGCGGAAAACAUGUUGUGGGCCUAUUGGGCUAGGGUUUCUGCUGUUUAUGCUAAGUAUUUGGACCAUUUGUACUGGGUCAUUGGGUCUACAAUUUUGGGUUAAUGUAAUUUGGAUUUUUAAAAUUUAGUUUUAAUUGAAUUUGGUAUUUAAUUUUAUUUAUUUAUGUACGGGCCCGGGCAAAAAUUGGGCAUUACAUAUAUAAAUAAAACUUAGAACUAAAUCAUCUACAUUAGGAAUUAAAUGACCCAAUCUAAAUCUGCAUUUCAAGAGUAAGAAGUUAAAUGUAAUCACAAAUUAAAGAAAAUAACUUCAAAAUUAGAUACCAGCUCAUAGAGCUUUUGUGUUUGUGCGAAGGUAAUAUCAUUUUCUAAAAAAGAUAUUAUUUCAUUAUAUAUAAAAUAGUUAGUUAAUUUAUUAAGAAAACUAUUUGAAUUAAAUUAAUAAUUAAAGCUUUUCAUAAAAAUAUUUAAUUAUAAUUUAAUUAUUUUAUUUUUAUUAUUGAAAUUGGGUUCAGUUUUUCGAUUUGGGCUUUUGUGAAUUUGAGCCUUUUUGUGUUUGAGCUUGAAUUUUUUUAUUAAAUUCUUAAACUUGGACCCAUUUUACUAUCUCUAUCUUUAAUAUUUUAUUACUUUUUGAUAUUUUUAAUUUAAUAAUAUUAUCAAUCCAACCUAAUAAAUAAUAUUAAAAACUGGUUUUUAUUGAAGUUUUAAUUGGUAUAUAGAUGUAAGAGAAUUUAAUUGAUAUUUAAUAAAAAAAUUGAAUAUAAUUUUCUAAGUUUUGAUAAUUUCAUAAAUAAAAAUUAAUAAUUUAACUAGAAAUAUCAUUAACAAAACCCUAGUAACUUCUUGGUUCUUUCAUCAUCUCUAAUUUAUGAAAAGUGGGAGAUAUUUGUAUGUGUAAUUAGAGACUGCAAAAUAAUAAAUGAGGGUUGAGAACAUAAACUCAGAAAACUAGUCAGAGCAUAGAUGAAGACAGAUGAUGCAUGUUAGGCAUAAAAAUCUCUUGGUUUUAGCACCUCAUCCAUGCAAAGUCACAUCCAACCCCCAUUGCUCCAUCGCCUCUCCCAGUUACUCCUUUUCCCUCUUAUAUCCUAACGGACAACCAAAACACCUUGUAGUCAGUUCUAAAGCUGCCUUCCUAGUGUAAAAGGAAGCCCCAUUAUUAUUGCUUUCACUGCACAUCCCCAUCCCUCUAAACCUCCAACUCUUCUUUAUAAACGCCACCACCUUUCUCCUCCAAUCCCCACUUCUUCUUCGCUGCUUCUUUCUUUCUUUCAAUGAUGCUGUUAUUUUCUUUUUGUUUGUUUUAUAUAUAUCUUGUCUCCUUUGGGAAAGUUCCUACAUCUCUUCAUCUUUGUCUUGGGAUUCUGGGUUCUAUUUCAUUGGUUUAGAGAUCAAUAAUGAUUGGCAUAUCAUGUAGCAGUGUUUUUCAUCUAAAGUCUUGCAUGUGGAAACGAGGUUAUCUAUCUAUAUGUGAUACAGCCAAGGAUGACUUGCCGGCUCACUUCUACUUAACAUAAAUCAUGCUCUCUACAUAAGCAGCUAAAAGUUAGAGCACUAAGCUAAAACCUGUAUAUGUUGUCAUCAAUUAAUUUAUAAUAAAUGUUAAUUGAUCGGCAAGUCAUCCGUGGCUAUAUCAUUGUCUCAUUUUCUCAUUCUAGAUUUAUGAUGAAAUUACAAAAAUAGAAGUGAAUCCUUGAGUGCUGAUGAACUGCUCCAUAAACGCUUCAAGGUAAAUCAGAAUGUCUAGUCUUAUAUAUUUUCCUUUUGCCUAUGUUGCAAUCUCUAUCCUACUUUAUUUACCUUUUAUUCCUUUUUAAAUUAUCUACUGGAGCUUAGCCAUGGACACCUUACUUUCCCUACUACUAUCUUAACCUUUCUCUCUUGCAGGUUUCAAUUUGCUCCAUUUCCUUGUUUGCUUAGUGAAGCUCAUGUAUCGAUUCCAGAUAUAAUUUGUACAUAAAGAUAUUAAUUUCAAGUAUUUUAUAUUCAUAUUUAGCGGUGCAAAAAUUCACAUGAAUAAUAAGUAUAAAUAAAUCAUUUCUAUUUUAAUAUCGCAGGAAAGUUGAAAUAUUAAUACAUCCGUGCUAUAUUAUAGACAUCGUACAUGGCACAGAGUUUGGCAUUUUUUUUUAAAAAAAGAGGACAGAAAGGUUGGAAAGUGUUGUCAUUUUCUGCUAAAUUGAAAUCAUGGUAGUGUCAAUGUCAAGCAGUGUUAACCAAACAAUAAAAUAAGGCAAAUUGUGCAAUGUUGCAUUCAUAAUUUCAACAUUGUCUUAAAGGGUCGAAACAUUAUACUUGUUUGCGUCGGUCUCAUUUAUUUACUUUUUACUAGUGAUAAAAUAGUUGGGCAUAAUGGGAACGUUUGCGAUGCUAUCUUUUUCUUAAAAUAAUGGUACAUUUUUGGCUUCACCUUUGUCACUAUUAAGGGGUUGUAUCUCCCUUGAAAACAUUUGUAGCCAUUGUCUUGGUCUUGAGGAGAACAAUCACUCUCUUAAGCUGCUUCACAAACAUUACCAUUACAAAUUUAAUUUGGUUACUAGAAAGGUUUUAUGAAUUUUAAAUAAUUUAAUAUUGCAUGCACACUUUAUUAUUAAAUAAUAGUUUUAUUUCAACAUAGUUAAAUUUUAAAUUCAAGAUUUUUUAGUUAUUAUUUAAUUAAAUUUAAAUAAAUUUAUUAGUAUUUAUUUAAAAAUCUUUUUCUUUUCUAAUGAUGAUGUAUCAUAUUAUUAUUUAUUGACGGCGCAUCAAGUAUUUUCUGUAAAAAAUUAAAAAAAUAUAUUAUUCAAGUAUCACUUUUUAUAAAUGUAUGAGAUCUUUUGCAUAUUUAUCUAGAUUAAUUAAUUAUAAUUGUUCAGUCGAUUAUUCAUUAUAUUAAUUGAAGAAAAAAGAAUUGUAAGUCAGCAGAGUAGGGUUUUAUUUUCUCUUAUAUAUGAAACAAAGAAAUUAUUUUGAAAAUUAAUUAACCAAAUAGUUGAAGUCGGCACCUAGAGCAGCCAACUUUCAAAGUCAGCACCUCCAGGUGUCAUCCUUUAUAUAUGUGUAUAUAUUUUAGGCUCAAAUGCAAAAUGAAAAAAAAAUUACAAAUAGUCCCAUGUUUUAUCAAAAUUUCAUGAUAGUUACUUUCAACCCUUUUUUUCAGUUUCGAUACAAAUUUCAUAGGUUUCGAGCCAAGAAUUUGGUGGGAACCGUAAGCAAAUAUGCCAUUUAUUUUAUUAAUUUAUUCUUUUUUAAAGGAUUUAUCUUAAAAUUUUGAUAAAUUACUUCAUAUUAGUCCAAAGCAUAGAAACAAGUUGUUCUUACAUCAACUAAAAGAAAAGAAUAAUGUGAGAAACGGUCCCUCGUAAUUUUAUCAAAAUUUCAAGAUAAAAUCUAAAAAAGAAAAAAUAAAUAUCAUAUUUACUUAAACUUCCCACCAAAGUCUUGGCUUGAAAAAAAUAAUUGAAAGUAACUAAAAUUAGUAAUCAUGAAAGUUUCCAUUGGUUGCCUUAGGUGCCGAUUUCAGCUAUUUCAUUAAUUAAAAAUUUCUGCCUAAAUGUCAUUUUUGUAGACUAAGAUAAACACUAGAUAGGUUGAAUGGUGAAUGUUUGGCACGAUACUGAUUAAGACACUUGUGCUACAAUCAUAAUUUGUGUCAGUACAUCGGUAUACUUCCAUCAGAUUCAUUAUUAUAUAAUAUGAAGAUAGUCAUGAAGACUACAAUUUUCUCUGCUCAGUUAGGAGUACAUUGAAUUCAUCUAAAAGCUCAUGUAAGUGAUGACAUUGCUUAAAAUUUUGCAAUAUAUUAUUAAAAUUUAAUGUAAAAUGUAUUUAAGGUUUGCUCAACCGAACCUUUGAUCUGAAAAAGAAAUUGGGAAGCUGAUCAUUAGCAAAUGAAAUUGGUAUGGGCUAGAUAUUAGGCCCCCAUGAAAGUCAAAGUUAGAUGUCUAAGAUUUUAGACUCUAGACCCUACAAAAUUAACUUUUGAUGACCACAGCCUAACUAGGCCCAACCAAGGAAUAAAAUAUUGAAUCCAAUCUUUGAUUUUUAGUUUAAUUUAAAUAAAAUAAAAAUAUAUUCAAUUAGACCAUGGAUAACAAUAAAUAAAUUCUACAACUAUUCUUAAUAUUAAUACUAAUUUAUUAUUUUAGAUUUUUUUUAAUUACAAGAUUUCCAAACACUUUCCUUUUUUUUUUUUUGUCAAUAUGAUAAACAUUCCAAAAUAAAAAGCUAGAUUUUAAUAAAAAUUUCAAGAUGGAGUAUAAUUUCACUAUUUAAAAAAUUAUUAAACCGUAUAACUUUAUAUUUAUAUAUUUAUAAUAUUUUAUAAUUAAAUUUAAAUAAAAAAUGGUUCAAACCUAAGUCAAGUCGAGCUUAAGUAGAUCAUUCAGCUCAUGACCCUUUAUUAAAAAGAAAUAAAAAAGACAUAAACAAGUUGACUAUGUAUAAAUAGAGCUGUAAUAAAAUCGAGUCAAGCUCAAUUCGAAAUUCGAAGUUUAAUAAUUGAUUUGAGCUCAAUCUGACAUUUAUUUUUAAAUUUAAGCUCACACAUAUUUAAGCUCAAACUCAACUUUAAAUCUGACUUGAUAAUUAAAUUUAGGGUUAAUAAUAUAUAUUAAAAACAAUAACGUAAGUAUUUAAAAUACAUAUAUUAAAAUCGAAAGGUUUAAUAAAACUCAGUAUUAAACUUGAUACUAAUUUUAAUUAAAUAUAAAUAAUUUACGAUGACUUGGAUAAAUUUUCAGAAAGAAAAUCAAUUCAAUAACAUUAAUAUUCAUGAAACCCAAAUGGGAACACUUUUAAUUGCAAUUAUACAUGUUCAAAGGUUAGUUUGAUAAGAUGGAUCGGUUGUGCCAAGAGUGCUAUUUAUUAAUAUUAAUUAAAAAAUAUAGAAAUAUUAAUAGUAUUUUUGAAAAGACGACCCCACCCCAGAACCAAUUUAAGUGCAAUAUAAGAUUAGUGAAAUUAAAAGAAGGAAUGUUGAAUGAUAAACAAAUGGCAUGCCAUUCACAGUGCAAUUAAACAAAGCAAUCAAAUCUUUAUUAUAUUAAUAGGGUUGUUAUUGAAUAGACCAACCAUGAUCUAGCAUGCUCCUUUAGUUGGUUGCAACUUCCACCACAUUCUUCCCUUCAAGAUCUAUUACAUGUGAUCUUAUUAUAAUCGCAUUAAAACUUAAUUAUUUAUAUUAUCAUCAUAUUAUUUGGCAAUAUGAAAGGUAAGGUGAUUGCCUUGUCUAAUUUUAUUUUAAUUACUAGUGUGUGUGAUGUUGCCACUUUCCUAAUCAUGUAUAAUUAUUGUUAGACUGUAUCAUUAUUUGCUUCAUAUCUUCAAACAAUAUAAUAAAGUUUGAAUCUUUGAACAAUCAAGGUGUUUUUCUUUAUGUGUUUCCUUCUUUGAUUAAACACCUCAAUACAGGACUCCCUAUAAAACCAUGCCUAAUAUUCUCAGUGAUUAACUAUUUUAUUGCACCUCUUUUUCCCUAUCUUUUCCACGUGUGUGUGUGAUUUUUUAAUUUUGGAUUGAUAGUUUUACCUCCUCAUUAAAUGCUAAACACUAUAAAUAGAGUAGCCUAACCCUAAUAAUUAAGGACCUUAAUUGUACUUUACCCCGAAACAUGUGUUUUGUUUCUCCUAUUGAAAUCUUAUGUCGAAAUAUAAGUAUCAGGUGCUUGUCAACAAUCAGCAUUUGGAUUGAAUUGAGAAAUUACUUUUUUGUUAGUCAAUAAGAACUCGUCACAUGUAUUGUGUAGUUAAUUCCGAAUUCAUCGUGAUUUAUGCUUAUCGAUUUAAACAUUUUACUUCCAAUCGCUUCAUUCAAAUGUGAAAAACAUACUAAAAAAAGAGAUCAUCGAAUCUUUUUUUUUUAAAAGAAAAGCACAUACCCACAACAAUAAAAACAACCAAGAAGCAAGGAUAACAAUAAAUUUUGAGUGUCCAUUAAUUCAUAGUUUAAUUGGUAUCAAUAUUACCGUCAGUGUAAUAGGACAUCGAUUAGGAUCGGCUGAAUCACAUUAUCAUUUAGACAUUAUAUAAAAAAAUUUGAAGGGCGUUGGCCUCAUCUGCUCCUAAGCCUUAUACACAAAUCCCAUACCCUAGAUACGUAGUAAUUGAUUGUAUGGAAUUACAAGUAUCAAAGCAUAGAAAGUGAAGUUGAAAUCAAACACUUGAGAUCCAACAAUGAUAGAAAUAUUUUUGAAGUUAGGCCAUUCCUUCUUAAAAUAUAGCUUCACUUAACUAUAUCUCUAUACACUAAUUAAGAUUUAAUUAUUUAGACAGCAAUAAUGUACCAUCUCUUAAUUAAUUUACAUGUCAACACACAUUAUUAAAUCUAACUGUACUUUCCACAUUUAUUUAUUUUUUUCUCACAUCUUACGUGGCACAGCAGAUGUCAAACUUUGACUUCAAAUAAAGUAUUAGCCGUUGGAUCAUGAAAGUUGCCAAGAUAGAUGAAAUUCCUGAAAUUGGCUACCUCCGUCACCCGCACUUUGGUCCACUUUCAAAUAAUUUAUUUCUUUUUCCCGAAAAGGAAAUAAGCUUGUCUGUAUCAGGAAAAAAAAAGGAGAAUUUUUAUUAUAUGGCAUAAAACUAUGUUCUCACUUCCUACAAGGUCCUUGUCAAUUUCAUGUUUACAACAAUAACACUAGGGUAUUUCAGUCUUUGUGUUUGAUAACAAUCAACGGAGUAUGGCCCUCACGUGGAAAUAGUUAGGUAAGAAUUUAUCUUAAAACUAUUUUCGUUUUCUAUUAUUUAAAAAGAUCUUUAACUUUAAUUUUGGUCAAUGCAAGUACAUUAAAAAUUAAUAAAUUUCAAUAAUUGAGAAAAACGUGAAUAUUUAAACUACAAAUUUUUUUAUGAAAAAUAUUUUUAGUCUUUUUUUUUAUAUUUGUUUCAUAUAAAAUAAAAUGGUCAACGUAAAAAGGUUUUUUAUUUUCUUAUUCCCAUAAGAUGUCUUACUGAUUUUUUUUGUAAGAUAUUUUCCAAACAGAUAAGGCUCUGUUCACUGUAACACCCCUAUGCCCGAUCUAAACAUCGGGUCAAAACACGAGGAUGUUACAUUCUUCACUUAUCAAAUAUUUUCUUAUAAAAUUUCAUAACUUUUCAAUUUAGUCCCUUUUUGUCAUAAAAGUUCAAUAUUCACUAAUUAAUCAUAUUCAAUCAAUUUUCUUUCUUGUUAACUUUAAUCAUAUAAUUUAUCUCAAUAUCUUGUUUAUAUAUCAAAAUUCUAUGUAUUUCACUUCUAUUAUUUCAUCCACGUAUUUUAUCAAGUUUAACAAUUUAGUCCUUGUCAUCAUAAAAAUUCUAUAUUUUUCCACAAUUUCACUUUUACAAUACUUUAUACAUAUUUCAUCAUCUCAUAACACAUUCAUUAAACUUUUAUCAUAAUUUUCUUAUUCUCAUGUUAAAUUGUUUCACACUUGAACUUUUAGGCAAUUUUUAAUUUAGUCCCUAUUUCCAUGUAAUUUAUUUUUCACCGUAUAAGCACUUUAAUCAAACAAUUCAUUAUAAUAUCUUACUUCGAAUGAAAAAUUUUCAUGCAUAUCACUUCUCUUGUUUCAAUUAUAAAUUUCACAAAGUUUAUAAUUUAAACCUUAACAUCAUGAAAAUUCAUUAUUUACUACAAUUUCACAUUGACAUCACUUUGUAAUCAAUUCACUACUUCAUUUAAACUCUUUAUCAUAAGUCUCAAAUAUAUGUUUGUUUAAUUGAAAACAACUUUUACGAAAUAUUUUCAGGAAAUUUGCCAAACAACAGAAAAUAUUUUACACAUAUUCAUCCAAACACCAUAAAAUAUUAACUUUUCCAAAAAAAAAACCAUUUUCCAGGAACCAUGUUCAGUGAAACAAACGUAGUCUUAAUAUGUUUAAAUUUUGUUUUGGAUUAAAAAUUUUCCGGAGACAUUAUUAUGACUAAUCUCUCAGAAACUAUAUAUGAAAAAAAAAGUUUGUUUUACUUGCCAAUUGAAUUAUUAUUAAUUAAUUUUCGUAAUUAAUAUUUUUUAUAAAAGUAUAAUCAUUGUAACUUAUUUAAUGCAAUUAUCAUUGUAAUUAAAUAUUCAAUUUUUUAAAGAAAAAUUACAUGAAAAAAAGAACAUGUAAGAUAUAUUUAUGAACACCAUUUGACUGUAAACGAACCUUAAUUAGGCAAUGGAAAAAUAUUUUUCAAUACAAAAGAGGAAAGUUUGCUUGCUCCCCUUCGGAUAAGAAAAAAUAUAUUUUGAAAGUGGUAAAUGAGAUUUUAUUAAUCAUAACUAUAUGAUAUGAAAAUAUAUUUUCUGAGGGAAUGAUAUGAAAAUAAUUAAAAUAUCAAACAAAACAAAAAUAUUAAAAUUUAUAUCAACAUGGCACGAAUACAAAAUACAAAUAUAUCAUAACUACAUUUCUAAUAAAUAAAAUAAGUUUUAGGAGAAGCAUUUGGUACACUGUUAAUAUAUAUUUUUAUUCCACGAGUAUAUGUCUCUUUCUUUUUAAAUAUUUUAUUAUAACCCUAUAGAACAUUUGUCAACCUCCGACUCUGCUUGUAGAGUCUAAAACUCUAUUACUAGUGUACCAAAUAUUAUUCAUUUAUUUUAUAUAUUUUGUUUGGGAUCGACAUGUAUAAACAGUGAAAUAGAAAAGGUAGAGAAGAUCGAACACAAAUUUUAUGUGAAAGACUCCUCUAAAGAGGAUAAAAACCACGGGAAAAAGGCAAAAGAGGCUUCGGCUUUUCACUAAAUGAGUAAACAAACGAGAGUAAAAUAUGGAUCAAAUAAACCUAAAUGUACUAAACGUACAAACCCAGACCCCGAACCAAAACUCAUCUGCGGCUACAUCUUGACGCCCCCAAAAGAAAAAAGUAUUGUAGUACUACAUCUUUAAUUCUCUUAUCGAAACAGGGAUACAGGGCCCCUUUAAAUAAGCUAAGUUUAAAGGGCUAAAACAACUAAAAUAUCCUUGAAGUAAUCAAAGUUCGACUAAGAGAAGAAGUCCUACUUGGUUGUUAGAACACAGUUGUAUUACUUGAAGAAUACGUUGUCUCGUCAUGACGUCCCAUGCAUGCUUGUCAUGAUGUGGCCCUCUCCGUCAAUUGGAGAACUCGUUGCAUCGUCCUGACGUCCCUCAUUGUGAUGUCGAUGUCCUCCACAUCGUGCCUAUUUGACAGUUAUCUUUGCUAAGUGUCCGAUAAAUGCGAGACACACCCUACAUAUAUUUUUAAAAUUUUUAUUAUUAUACCUUAUAUACAUUUAAUAUCAACUUUGUUAAAAUGUUAAAUUUCACUCAUAAUGUAUAAAAAGAAGAUUACAUAGAUACGGAAAUUUAAAUCUAAAAAUGAAGUUAGGUUUGCAAAUAGGGUUUAUGAUUUAGAGGAAUCUCUAAAUUUCCAAUCUUGGCAUUGUACCAUUGCUAACCAAACAAAAAGAAUAAUAACGAAAACUGGUUGUGGAUUUCAUCAUUCAUUUAUUAGUAAUAUAUUUUUAGGGUUUAGUAGUUUAUAUAUUUUCUUUUUUCUGUGGGCAAUUUUUAAAAUAUUUGGUUUCGUAGUUUCUGUUAGGUGCAUUUGUCAUCCUCGUAUGAACUCAACUUCGACAGGUAACCUUACAUUAGAGGUUGUUAUUUUUCUCCUUUUGUCUAACAAGAACCAAUGCCUCUUUCACAUUAAUUCAUCUUUAAUAUUACACUCAUAUUUUGGGGAAAGUUGAGGGUUCACUCUCAAUUUUAGGCUAUCCAUGUGACCAUGUACACUCAAUUUCUGCACAUUUGCAUUUCCUUUAUACUUGUUAAUUAGGGCUCAGAAAAAAAAAACUUAAAUAAUUGAAAAUUGCUUUAAACAGAUGUUUUAUUUUUAAAUUAGAUUAAUUUUAUAUAUAUUAUAAAAUACUUUGAGUUAAUUGCAUCAAAUAUUCCCAAACUAUUAUUUUCAUUUUAAAUUGGUUAAUAUUCCUAUAUUAUUGAGGUUAUAUUGAUUAGGUCAUCCUUUUACUAAAUUAAAUUAACUAUUGAAUAAUACGUCAGAUCUUAUGUCACAUAAUUUAAAAUUAAAAUUUUAAGAAAAGAUGAAUAUUGUGAAAAUGGUUGUUUUAAAAUAUCAGUUUUGGGGGUUUUAAAGUUUUUAUAGAAUCUGUAUCGUUCACUUUUUUUUCAACUUUACUUUAGGUUAAAAUUUUAAUUUUAAAAGUUAAGCACCAGCAUUCUAUUUCUUUUUAAAAAUUGUCAUCCUAAAUUUAACUACAUAAUUCAUUUAACAAUUAAAUUAACAACUUUAAUAAUGAUUGAUAGUUAAGGAUGUAAUUGUAAUACCUUAAAGUUUGAGAAUCAAUUUAAAGUGAAUAUCAUAGUUUAGGGGUGUCGGUACAAUUAGCUCAAAUAGUUUUUCUCUAAAAGAUUAUAAAACAGUGAAAUUGGAUUUAGGUUGGUUGAAGUUCUAUGGUAUUAAUUUGGUUGAAUUUCUAAAAAAAAAAAAAGAGAUUAUAAGCAUUAGCCAUAAAUAUUUAUAAGUAAAUUUAUAAAAAAAUAAAAAUAAAAAUUAAAUAUGAUUUUGGUUAAAAUAAUAAAAUUGACUAAAUGUAUUUUUAAGUAGGGCUCAGUUGAGAUUUAAGUAUGAUAUUGAUUACAUUUUAUAAUAGCUUAAGUCCCGUUCGGCCCAAAAUUUUAACUAAGCUUGUCCAUAAUAGAUUGAUAGUAAAUGAUAAAUCCAAACUCAUUUUAUUUAAUUUUUUUAUAUAUUGACAUCUUAAUAUUUUUUAAUAUUUACAUUAUAAUAUUAUAUAUCACCACCAAUUUAAUUUUUGUAUGUGUUUUAAAUUGCAUAACAUAUAAAAAAUAACAUAACAUAAUAUAAUAUAUUAGAAAUUUAAAAAUAAGUCGAGCUUGGACCUUGAAUGCUCGAGCCUAAGCCCGACCCAUAUUUUAUAUGGACUUGUUUUCUUUGCCAAAGCUCAUUUUUUAGACUUAAGAUUUUUGCUUAAAUAUUCUAAAAUUGACUUAGAGAAACUUACGAUGAUUUGGGUCCAAAUCUUAUUGUUCUUAUUUCGUAGAUCUAUUGUUCUAGAUUUAUCAAAUUACAAAAAUACAUAAAUACCUUCAAAAUAAUAUUCUUUACUUUGUAGAAGGAAGGGGCUUUUGGUAAUUUUCGAAUUGAGUUUAAUUUUAAUUGAUGAGUGACACCAAUUUAGUCCGCCCUUAAUAUAUAGUAUAGAUAAUAAACAUGAUAUAACAAAUUAAAAGAUAUAAAAUAACAAAUGUUGAAAAGUAUUGUGGCGUGGGUUCAAAUUCUGUUUCAUGUAUUUCAAUUUCUAUUUUCCGAUAUAAAAUAACAAAAAUGCUUUGAAAAAUAAUAUAAUUCUACGUCAUUUACAUCAAUAAACCUUACUUUACCAUUUAUGCACGCUUUAUUACCUCCCUCAAUUGUGUAUAUAUGAUAAAUAUCUCUAGUGCAUUUAAUGUUAUUAAUCUAAUGUAUUUACGUAUUUAAAUUUCACUUUACUCGCAAUUUAAUGCUUUCAUUUUAAUAUCGUACAAAUCGAAUGUGUUAUUAUUAAUUAGUUUCAAACUAGAUUUAUCAUUAUUUAUUGUAUGUUAUUUUUAAAAAUAUUCUUAUAUUCUAAAUACGUAAUUUCUAUACCGUAAUAAAAUUUCUAAUAUUAAUAUGAUAUUUAUAUUUAUAUUUACAUUUAUACGAUUGAGAUUAAGGGAAAAAAAACAGCCAACAUGCAAAUUUUUUUCACCCUUUCCUUGUAUUUUCAUGGUAAAGCAAAAAAAAAGAAAAGAAAAAAGAAUAAGUUAGUUGUCCUGCUUUUUAUUUUAUUAAGAUAUCAUAAAUUAUAAACACUAGAAAUCAUAUCAUUCGUAUACUUGUAAAAUCAUAAAUUUAAAAUAUAAAUGUAUAUUUAAAAAUAAUAUAUAAUAAAUAAGAAAACAUAUAGUUUGAAAUUAAUUAAUAGUAACAUAUGAAUAUGUAUGAUGUUAAAAUGAAAAAAAUAUAAGUUAAAAUUGUUUAUCAUAGUGUUCGUAAAAUUUGAUAGAGGUAAUAAAGUGUGCAUAAUAAAAAUUGAAAUGUAUAAAAAUAUUUAAAUAAAACUUUAGAUGAGUGGUAAAUUAAAAGUUUUAUUAAUUCAAUUAGUUUGAGUUCAAAUCCCACCAUAUAUAUGUUUAAAAAAAACUAAAUUACACCCGAAUAAUAUAACUUAUUUCAAUUACUAAAUAUCAUUGACGUUAACUGAAUUGGUGACACUAACUUAAUAACUAGUAUAGAUAAGACUUAAAAACAUUUUGUUGAUACUAUUCCAAUUCGUUGUAUUGUUGGUAUUCGGAGUUUAUAAUUAUUUAUUAUUUAUUAAAAUUAUAUAUACAUUAUUAAUUAAGAAAAAGACUGGAUUUUUGACAUAGAUGCUGUAAUAUGUCGUUCAAGUUAUAUUUUUAUUCAAGAUGAUGAUUUUAACACCCAUUUCUUUUCUGAACUUGUUCUAAAUUAGAUUUAACUUCAAAAUUAACCAAUUCCAACCAUCCAAUCCAUUUCAACAACAGUGUUUGAAAGCUGAAACCAUCCACCAAGUGCCUUACAGGCCACGCUUCUUUCCCCCCUUCCUAAAAAACCAGUAUUUAGGGGCUCCAUUUUUGCCCACUCCACUUCCUUUUCUUCUUAACACCAUCGCCACCACCUUUUCACUUCAUAUCUUCCUUCCCUUUUCCUCUUCCUUCAUCCACCUCCCUCGCUUUUUGGCCUUUGAGUUUGGCUUUUCAUUGUUUUAGCCAUCUUAUAAAAACUGGGGUUAUCCUUUCUUAAUUUGAUCCGUAUAAUUGUUGAGGUCGUCUAAGCUGAGGAGUAAGCGAAGGGUUUUGAAAUGGAAAACGUUUCUAGCUUUAGGAACGAAGAUGAACAAAUGGAACUGCCUCCAGGAUUUCGAUUCCACCCCACAGAUGAAGAGCUGAUAACACACUAUCUCUCCAAGAAAGUUGUUGACAGCUUCUUCUCUGCUAUCGCCAUUGGUGAGGUUGAUUUGAACAAGUGUGAACCUUGGGAUUUGCCUUGUAAGUUUCGAAACUUGUUAUUCUCUCUGUUUUUGUUUACUUGGAAGGUGAUUUUUGAAUAUAGAUUUUGAUUGCUAUAUGUAUGUUGAAAUGAAAGGGAGAGCCAAAAUGGGUGAAAAGGAAUGGUACUUCUUCUGUGUUAGGGACCGGAAAUACCCGACUGGUUUGAGAACAAACAGGGCAACGGAUGCCGGUUAUUGGAAAGCCACGGGCAAAGAUAAAGAGAUAUUCAAGGGGAAAUCACUUGUUGGGAUGAAGAAAACUUUGGUUUUCUACAAAGGGAGAGCACCCAAAGGUCAAAAGACCAAUUGGGUCAUGCAUGAAUUUCGUUUAGAAGGCCAGUAUUCCGUUUACAAUCUUCCCAAAACAGCCAAGGUUGUAGAACAAAUCAUGUCUCUGUUUUCCUCUGUUUCCUUUUCCUAAUGGCUACAAUAUGAUGAUGUUACUGUUGUCCUUUCCAUGGUUAAUUGAUUCUUGUUUCCUUUUUGCAGAACGAGUGGGUUAUUUGUAGAGUAUUCCAAAAGAGUCCCAAUGGCAAAAAGGUACAUAUUUCAGGUUUGCCUCCACUAAUGGAUCCCUCACCGCACACCAGCGAAACAAGAACCGUGGUGGGCGCCGGCGAGACGUCAAACGUGACCUGCUUCUCCGAUCCGAUAGAAGACCGUAAAGCAGUGGAAGAAAUGAUGGACAGCUUCGACACUUCCCUUGUACCUUGUUCAUCAUCCUCUGUGAAUUCUCUUCAAAAGGCUUCCUACACCACCAACCAAAUCAAGUCGAACAUGGGAAACUUGCAGUACCCGGAUUGUUUUUGGAUUCAAGAACCGUCCUUAUUAAAGACAUUAAUCCAAAGCCAAGGAGGGCGGCCGAAGCAGAAUCUGAAACUAGAGUUUUCCCAGGAUUCAGCCGUGUCCAACCCUGAAAUGAUUCAACUUCCUGCAUGUUCUGCAGGAGCAAUAGACCUGGGUUACUUCUGGGGUUACUAAAAUUGAAGAUUAAAAACCGAAAAAAGGAAAAAUCAAGGGAUGUAAAUGGAUUGAAAGAGUUGGAAGAAUAUUAUUGUCAUGUGUGCAUAGAUAACAUUAGUAGGGGAAGUCAAGAAAAUGAUUGUGUUGUAAAAGUAGUUAAAAACUUUGUUAAGGUUUUCAUUGCCAUUUUAGGAUUUCACUCUAUUAUCUCAUGCCAUGCCUUUGUUUUAUACACAACUAUUGUAAUUUCUACCAUAUUUUAAUUCCCAUUUAAUUCUCCAAUAUGUUCGAAAAUGUGAAACAAAAAUAUAUUUUUUUUAUUAAAUUGAGCAACUUAAUUUGGAUGUGUUGAGAAAUGAUUCGGAAAAUAUGAAAACCAAAUAUCAUGUGUUGAUGUUGUAGUCUUUUUGGUAGAUUAGUUAGCAAGUUCGUAAUUGUUUGCAAGGAUUAUGUCACGUGUUAGGUCACCAACCAGGGGUCAUCAAUGAUUAAGAGCCAAUGACAAAGUGAUCUAAAUUUUUAAAACUCUCGAAUAUAAUCCUUUUAAUUUUUAAAAAUAUAAAUUAUACCCAAUUAAUCCCAAAUCUUGUCUUACUUACUUCUUUUAUUAUAUAUAGCUCAAAUUUUAAGUAAAGGAGAUUUGAUGGAAUAUGUUUGGGUUUUUCUGUUUUGACAUAAUGAUAAAUUUAGUUUUUAAUAUUUAUAUUUUUUAUUUUGUUAAAUUUGAUUCUCAAUUUUUAGAAAGAGUUAAAUUGUUAUUUUUUAACCGAAACAUUGAUUAAAAUAUAUGAUAACCUACAUAGUAAUCCAUGUGUAGUCCAUGCUAUUUUUUUGAAUAUUUUUAUAAUUUUAAAUUAUCACGUGACAUAUAAGACAAAUAAUGUUUUAGUUAACACAUGUGAACUACCACGCAGAUUACCAUGCCAACAUUGUUAGCAAUUUAAUGUUUUAGUUAACAGUUCCGUUACAAAAAAACUUAUUUGACUUUUUUUGAAAGUUUAAUGACUAAAUUUAUCUAAAAAAAAUAAAUACAAAAGUGACAAAAUAUAUAAAAUUUGUAUUACUUAAAUUCAAUUCAAUCCUAUUACAACUUUAUUUAUUUCAAUCAAAUGAAUUACUAUCUCUUAUUAACAUCUUUCUGUAGUUAAGCUUCCUACGCAAUAAAAGUGACCCAAAAUUUUAAAGAAGUCCUCCUGAAGUUCAUGCAUGCAAUCUCCAAUCUCAUAAACUUAUUUAGAAAAUAGGGUAAGCAAUCUCCAAACAUAACGAAUAGAGCUACAAUGGAUGAACUAACAGUAUUUAGUAGGGGGAUGGCAUGCUGUAAGUCAAUUCCAAAUCACUACACUUUGAACUCUUGUUAGGUAUUCAAUGUACCUAAACUUGUAAAGGAGACAUACCAAAUUCUCCCCCCCCCCCCCCAAAAAACGAAGAAGAAGAAGAAGAAGAAGAAGAAGAAGAAGAAGAAGAAGGGGCCUACAUUUGGAUAAAUUUUAGUAACAGAGAACUACCCAAAUCUGCAUAUUCAUUCACCUAUUUUUAUCCACAUUCGAGUUAGUAUAGAUACAAAAACGUAUUAUUUUCUCUAAAUUUCAUCAUAUAUUUGGAGAGGUAUGCUUUUAGAAAAAUGAAAAUGUUAACGGCUCCACCAAAAUGAACCAAAUAUUAGACACAUUGACAAAGGGUGUUCAGUGCAGCCACUCACAUGGAAUUGACUUCAUUGUAACCAAUUCCCAUCCAAACGUUAUUGUCAUUACUUUUUUUUUUGUCCUAGAAAGAGAUUGAUUUUCAUAUAAUAUUUCCAAGACACCCAUAUUAAGCGACGGCUAUCAUGAAAACAAGCUUUUUUUUUUUUUUUUACAAUUCAUAAUAAUUGCCAUUAUUUUCCUCUUCCAUAUAUAUAUAUUUUCUGCAAAUAUGAUAAAUCAACUUUGCUUAACGUUUGUUGUAACGACAGUUAAAAUGAAAAUAGACAGCAUAAAAAUUAAGAGUGGAAAAGAAUUGACAAAACUAAUAUUUGUUAACGUAGUUCAGACAUAAUGAUCCUACGUCUAUUAAGCCUCACCCAACGAAUAAUUUUAUUCAACAAUCGUCGAAAUAACCUAUUGACUUAAGUUCAAUCUACCCUUACAUAAAGAACUAAUUGCAACCCCAAUACUGACCUUGAUUGUCACAAAUCACUCACUCAAAUAUCUUAUAAUACAUUCAAUAAACUCUCCAAAGAAUACCUAAAAGAGUGCCGCAAAAUAACCACAAGAACAUAACAAAGUUGUUGAAAAAGACACUCCAAAACUACUCUUGGUGUGCAACACAAAACAACCUAUUUAUAGACCUCUUCAUGUGGUUAAUCAAAAAUAUUUUGAUAGACUUUAAACUCCUAUUUUAUUCCGUUAAUUAUCUUGAGUAUUUAUCACAUAAAAGUCUUAAUAAAUCAAUCUUCCAACUGCUCCAAAACUCUCUUGAAUAAAUAUAAUAAUUAUCUCUAAAAAAUUACAUAUUAAGACUUCCAUGCUUAUCUAAUCACCCCAAGCAAUUCGGUUAGGAGUCUUAGCACCCUAGCCGACCCAUGCUUCUAGUUUUGUCAAAUAUGCCACAUCCAAGUGGAUCAAACUCAGCAUAAACGCAACUUAUUCAAGGCCCAAGGCACAACAUGAACAACAACUUUCCCAACAAUCUCCCUCAAGGCAUUUUGACAAAACCAUGCAGCAAAUGGUUAACCCACAAUCCAAAUAAACCACAUAGCAAGACCAUUAGAAUAUGUCUCCCCCUAAAAGAUAGAUCCACGCUUGACUGCACACUCUCCCUAUCAAUAUACUUGUUCAUCACAUAAUUAAUUAAACAUGCACUAAUGUCAUAAAUAUGCAGUAAAAAAAUAUCAUUUAAAAAAAUCAACAUCAAUUCUCCCUUUGACAAAGAGAAAAAGUAGCAACCACAAUCAAGAAGAAAACAUUUAAUUUGUUGCUAUCAUAUUCUGCCCCUUUUUGGCAAAAAUGCCAAAAGUGUAAUCAUAAGUGAAAUCAAAGUAGACAAAAUCACGAAAUCAACAUUCUUACUCCCCCUUACCCUAUUUAUCCCCUAUUAGCUUCUUUAAUGUUAUUUAGAGGGGAUGAGAUCAAAUGCUACUUUAUCAACAAGAUGAGUUGUAGCUUGUGGAACAACAUAGUCUUUUCCACAAAACUUAGGUGAUAUUUCUCCAAUCCUCGAUAAAUCUUUAACAUGGUCAUCAUGAGUUGCAACCUCGUGUUUCACAUGAGCAUCAAUUAAAUGUUGAUCUUCAUUACUCAAAUGUGUUUGAUCCUUCAUUACCCAAAUCUGCCUAUGAUGUGGUUUUCUUGUUCCAUUCAUUAUUCUAAAAAGUUUUGUAGCUAAGUUGAACUUCUUCUAAUCUUGCAUAAUUCUAUAACACUGGGGUAUAAUAUGCCCAUCUUUCCCACAAUAAUGACAUACAAUCUUUCUAAAGUUUUUAUUCUCUGCCUCAUGAAGAAAAGAAGAACCCCCAUAUUUAGCUUUAACAAAAAUUGAAAGAGCAAUAAGUUUCUUACCUUUAUUUAUGUAAGCAAGUCCUUUAUGGCUUGGUUCAAUUCUCUUUAAAGUCAAAAUUUCAUUAAGAUUCUCACUUUGGCCUCCAAACUUCUUCAAAACAACCUUUUCAUAAUCAAGAUUCUUUUCUUGGACCACAAUUUUGAGCUUUUCUUUUUCUCCUUUAAAGAGAAUAAUUUCUUCCCUUAAGGAAUCAUUCAAUUGGCACAAUAUCUCUAUUUUCUUUAACAUAUAGCUAUAAGCAUCCUUCAAAGAUUUAAAAGGAAUAUCAACAUUAUCCGAAUCUUCAGAAUCUGUUGGGAUACGGUUUGGAAUAGUAGUAGUAAAAGCAACAUAUUUGCUCACAUCUUCACCUACAUCAGAACUUUAUUCAUCACUCCAAGUGACUGUGAGUGACUUCUCGUUAGUAUUAGCACAUUCUGAUUAUAAGUGACCAAAUCCCUUGCAUUCAUAACGUAGAACACCCUUCUUCAUUGUCUCACUGAUAUCUACUUUAGUUCCUUUUUUAGCGAACCUCUUCAUGCUUUUUGUGAGCAAGGCUAAUUGCUUUUUAAUCUCAUCAAUGUCCUCCACUAUCUGUUUCACUACUGGGAUAGUCUUUUGAGCAUUGGAUACUAUGUUCUUUGGCAAACUCAACUUGUCAUGUUUUGCUUCAUUUAUAUUCAACUCAAAUGUUUGGAGUGAGUCUAUUAACUCAUCCAUCUUGAGAGCGGUAAUAUCUUUGGCCUCCUCUACUGUUGUGACUUUAAUGGAAAAUUGUUAUGGUAAAGAUCUCAACACUUUGUGUACCAAUUUUAUAUAAUCUUGCAUAAAACUCAGAGAUAUUUUCAUUUUCAAAUAUUUUCAAAAUUUUUAACUUGAUUGUUAAAAUCUAAAGUUUUGACAUGUGUACGACAUCAUUUCCUUCAUGUUGGUUUUUCAAGAUUGUUUAUCCUUCCUUAGCAUACUCACAUAUAGAAAUGACUUUAAGUUGGUUCAGGUCAACUCCACUGAAAAUGACAUUUAGGGCUUCUGAAUUUCCAUGAGAAGCCCUUCUUUUUGCGUCAAUGUAUUUGCUUCUUUCUUUAGGGGGUAUGGUGCCAUAAAAAAAUAGUUACAAUGGGUCGAGUCCACUUAUCUUCAAUAGCUUCCCAAUCUGCUUCAUUGACAGACAUAAUGAAAGCUCUCGUAUGAGCUUUCUAAUAAGCAUCAUUUGCUAAACCAAGUAGUAAUGAGGUUCGAGUAAUCAAACUACCUUCCUUCAUGGUUUCCAUGGUCACAAAUCAAACAAAGGAUUACCUUCUGUUAGGGAUCGACCCGAUUAAGCAACAAACAAGUAAAAAUAGCAGAAGAAAUUGAGAAGAUGAACACACAAAUUUAACGUGGAAAAACCCCUCCAAAGAGGAUAAAAAACCACGGGCAAAGAUAAUUUUACUAUAAUAGCAAAAGAACGAAAAGUACAAAAGAUGGAGAUAAAACUAAACCCCGAAAACCCGAAAAACAAAGAACCCUCAAAACGUAAACACAAAAUUCUCUGAAUGUGUUAUGAGUUCUAAUCUAAUGGGUGUGUUUUCUAAGGUUGUACAAGAGCCUAUUUAUAGGCUAAAUUCAUAUGUCAAAUAAUAAUAAAAUAAUCUAAAGUAAUCAGUGUUUGACUGAAAUAAAUAAACAGAGUUUAACUAAAAGAUUAUUUUUCAAAUUUGACUGAAAAUAGGAGUCAUACUUAACAAAUCUCCACCUUGACUUAUAUUUCUACAACGCCAUCUUUGCCAAAGCCCGCCACGAGCCUAUCUUGAACUAUGCAGGGAAUUAACUGAGUCGAAUUUGUGCUUAGAAACUGGAAGACUUCUAGCCUUCGACUUGUACACUGCCAAAUCAAAACUAACCUAGGUCUAAUUUUCACGAACACAGUGCCCUAACUUUUCAAAACCUGCAUCCAAAAGAGAACCUCUCUUCAACGAAACGGUCAUACAUUUUCCCUCCUAUGACCAAGUUACCUCCGCUCCAAACGAGUUGACUUCGACUCUGUAACGGACGAGGGACGUCCAAUUUCACCGGUCACUGUAGAACUUUCCAGAAUAUAAAGACUGCCUGUUCUUUUACCUUUUAACAAAACGAGAGCUCCACGAGAUACUUUAAUACCGCUUGACUCGAUGUUGAUUCUGCAUCCUUUCAAGUCUAAAAUACUUAAGGAGAUGAGUUUCUUUCGUAAAUCAGGUAUAUACCUGACAUCUGAGAGUGUCCUAAUCGUCCAAUCAUGUAUCCUAAUUUUAACAGUACCAAUACCAAUUACCUUACUAGAUGAAUCGUUUCCCAUGCGCACAACUCCACCUUCAACCGAACUAUAUGUGGAGAACCAUUCUCUAUUGGGACACAUAUGGAAAGAACAUCCCGAAUCUAGGAUCCACUCAGACGUGAGCUUGGAGUUAUCACUCGUUGACACUAACAAGAAAUCAUCACCGCUUUCAUCGGCCAAAUUAGCACUAGCUACAUCUUCCUCGUUACUCUCAGCAGCUUUUUUAUUUUGCAGUUUAUAACAAUCUGCUUUGACGUGACCUAACUUUUUACAAUAGCGACACCUUUUGUCUCGUUUCUUUGAUGCUACCAAAACGGAAGCUUGCCUAUCUACCUUGCUAUCCAAAUGAAGCUCAUUGUCAAGUUUGUCUUUACUCAACAAAUGACCCUUCACAUCUUCGAACGAGAUUUUGUCUCUGCCAUAAAUCAGGGUCUCCCUGAAAGACUUGUAUGAAGGGGGUAAAGAGUACAAUAAUAGCAUAGCUUGAUCUCCAUCAUCAAUAUGAACCUCAACAUUCUUUAAAUCAUUUAAAAGAGUAAUGAAUUGACUGAUGUGAUCUCUAAGAAGCUCACCUCUGUUCAUGCGAAACGUAAAUAGACGUUGUUUCAACACUAAACGGUUAGCCAAAGACUUAGUCGCAUAAAGAGUUUCUAACCUUUUCCACAAGGCGGAUGAGGUAUUCUCCAUCAAUACCUCCUGCAAUACCGUAUUCGCGAGGCACAACUGGAUUACAGACAAUGCCUUUUCAUCAAGCUCUUCCCAUUCUGUUUUAUUUAGAUUCUCAAGCUUUUUCCCGGUAACAACCUUUUUCAAACCGGAUUGAACUAGAAUUGCCAUCAUCCGAACUUGCCACAGAUUGAAAUUUGUCUCACCCAUCGAACUUCUCAAUUUCAAAUCUUGUUGUUGCGAUAUCUGAAUGGGCUGAUCUACGAAAAUUGAACUAGCUCUGAUACCACUCGUUAGGGAUCGACCCGAUUAAGCAACAAACAAGUAAAAAUAGCAGAAGAAAUUGAGAAGAUGAACACAUAAAUUUAACGUGGAAAAACCCCUCCAAAGAGGAUAAAAAAUCACGGGCAAAGAUAAUUUUACUAUAAUGGCAAAAGAACGAAGAGUAUAAAAGAUGGAGAUAAAACUAACCCCGAAACUCGAAAAAACAAAGAACCCUCAAAACGUAAACACAAAAUUCUCUGAAUGUGUUAUGAGUUCUAAUCUAAUGGGUGUGUUUUCUAAGGUUGUACAAGAGCCUAUUUAUAGGCUAAAUUCAUAUGUCAAAUAAUAAUAAAAUAAUCUAAACUAAUCAGUGUUUGACUGAAAUAAAUAAACAGAGUUUAACUAAAAGAUUAUUUUUCAAAUUUGACUAAAAAUAGGAGUCAUACUUAACACAUUCGAAUAACUUUUGAACCUUCUCUAAUACCAAUUGAAAAAUAAUUAGUCUGUGGAAAUGAUAAAUCAACUUUGCUUAACAUUCGUUGUAAUGACAGUUAGAACAGAAACAUACAACGUAAAAAUAAGAGCAAAAAAUAAUCAAUACAACUGAUCUUUGUUAAUGCAAUUCAGACACAACGAUUCUACGUCUACGGAGUCUCGCCCAGUGAAUGAUUUUAUUCAAUAAUCGUCUAGAUCACUUAUUGGCUUAAGCUCAAUCUACCAUUACACCAAAAAUAAAUUGCAACCCUGACAACGACCCCAAUUGUCACAAAUCAUUCACUCAAGUGACUCACAGUACAAUCAAUAAACUCUUUAAAGAAUACUUAAGAGAGUGUCACAAAAUAACCACAAGAACACAACAAAGCUGUCGACAAAGACACUUCAAAACUACUCUUGAUGUGUGACAGAAAACAACCUAUUUAUAGUCACCUUCAAGUAGUCAAUCAAUAAUGUUUUGAUAAGCUUUGAACUCCUAGUUAAAAUUUGAAACUAUUCUAUUAAUUAUCCUGAGUAUUUAUCACAUAAAAGUCUUAAUAAAUCAAUCUCCUAAUUGCUCCAAAACUUUCUUGAAUAAAUAUAUAAUAUUUCUCUCUAAAAAAUAACAUUUUAAUAAUAAUAUUUCUAUACUUAUCCAAUCACCCCAAGCAAAUAGGUUGAGAGUCUUAACACACUAGUCGAACCAUGCUUUUAGUUUUGUCAAAUAUGUCACAUUCAAGUAGAUCGAACUCAGUACAAACAAAACAUAUUCAAAACCCAAAUUGAUGAUGUAAGCAUAGAAACAAUUUGGUUAUAAUACAACAUGGAAUGAGCAACAACUUUCUUGACAUUUUCAAAUUAAUAUAUAUUUCUUUGACAAAAUAAAUUUGACAUUUCAUAUGCACGUACGUAUGUAUUAAUCACACUAUUAUUUUAUAAAAGAUAAAAUUGAGUCAUCUCAUUGAUAGAUGAAUUUUAUUAUUUUUUUUUCGUUUUUAUAUAUUAUUUUAGUUGAUAGAAAAUAAGGUUUUUUCUAAUAAAAGGAAAGAAAUUACAAAUGAAACUUAAAAAAAAAAAAAAAAGCAUCACAAAUUCUAGUAGAGUGAGUUCCAUUGCAUCAUUCGACAGAAAAUAAAAGUGUUCUAGCAUUAGCUAACCUAAUGAAAACGAUCUUUUUUGUCCAUGCCUGAAAAUCAUUAAUAAUGUCAAAUCAACUGUUUAAAUAAUAUUCUUAAAUUUUGACCUAACUAUUUGUAAUUCUUUCUUAUGAAAUGAGUACAUGACAAAUACAAAGAAUACAUAGUAUAAAUGUAUAAAAGUUUAUAUAAAAAAGAAUUAUUCUUAACUAAUUAGAUCUAUUUACCAAAAAAAAUCAAAUUUUGUUGACACAUUUGAAGGCAUAGAAGGUUUCUGUGGUUAAAAUAAUGACUAACUUUAAACACCGUUUUAUUGUCUUACUUGCUUAGAAUAUAAGAAUCGGACUAUCUAUUUGGACGAUAUUUGGACAAGCAAAGCCCAAAACAUGAAGACCAAUUGAGUUGAAAUUGAAGACUUGAAGAUUAAUUUCUUACAGAUUAAGUUAGAUUACUUACAGAACAAGUAAAGUCACGCUCUAUAGUUGAGGCAUUAAUUACAUCAGGAUUCUUACGAAAAGAUUAUCUUAUGCUAAUUUUUAGUCUUAGUUUAUAGAAAAAGUGACUAGAUUAUGACUCUUAUGUAAACAAAACUUAAGUAAUAUAUAAGCUUAAGUCUUGUUUAGGUUUAAAGAUACCAAGAAACCGAGAGAAUUAGAGAAAGCACAAAUUUGUAGUUAGGAAUGUGUAUUUAUGCAUUGUUUUUGUAAGCAAUCAAGAGAUUUGCAAAACUAAGCUUUCAAGGGGAAAGCUUAGUGGGAGAGUAAUUUAGUAUUUGUACAACGGUGGGUUCACUAAAUCCGUGAGUAUUAGGACUUAAAUCAUUAGUUAUAUGUUGAGAAAGAUAAUGGAUCAUUGCUUUGAAUAAGAUCCCCUAGACAUAGACUGAGGUCAAAUUGCAUAAACAAAUAUAAAUAUUUAUAUUUAUGUAAAAACACCAAAUCUAAUUGGAAAGCAACCUACCCUCAUUUUUACAAACUUUAUAUGAUUAUAUAAUACUUAAACACAAUUAACACAUGAAUAUAUAUGAAUUACCAAGAUUUAAGUAGAUAACGUGUACAAUUUAUAGUCAAAAUUAAUGUUGUCUUUUAGUUGUGGAAACAAACAAAUACAAUAAAUUGAGCAUUUAUGUCGGGGACCCUUCACUAGGAUUUUCUGUUUUUUUGGAUAAAACAGCGAUGCUUGAAUGUGCUUUCGGUGUUACUCAGGAUGUUUUUAAUUUGGCCACAAAAGGAUAUUUUGGUUUAGAUACGUCUAAAAAUUGAGUUGCUCACAACUUAUGCUCAUCUUGGAUUCCACUUACACGUUUCUUUUUUUAAACUUCCCUCUAAUCUAGAUUACAAUUUAAUAAAUCUUAAUUAUUCUUAUUUUAUUUUAAAUUGUCAACUUUUCUUCUUACAAAACUACCAUUUUCUUAAAAUAGUUAUAUGUAUUUACAUUUUUAUCUUUUCCUAUAACAAUAUAUCUAUCUAUUUCUAAACAUGUCCCAAAUUAGUGAAAUUUUACAUAUGAUUCGUACACAUGAAAUUCAAUUGAUGAAUAAUUUUUUUCUUUCUUUCAUAUAAAUAAAAGUAAUAAUGAAAACUUGCAUUAAAAGAUUGCAAGCUUAGAGUGUCUAUUUAAAAGGAGGAUUGCUUAUUUAAUGAUGUACGAUUGAGGGAGAGAAUUUGUUUUUUCAUUUUCAGAAACUUAUUUUUAGUGCAUUUAUCUUGUAUACCAACUAUGUCUAUGUUUUGUUUGUGACUAAGUUUUCUCGAGAAAAAUUUUGGUGGAGAAAGUGAUUUCAAUUUAUGCAUAUGAGUGAAGUUGUAACUCGAUGAAUAAGUUAAUUACUCCGUGGGCAAAUUGAUAGUGAAUUACUCCGUGGGCAAACCAAUUCCAUGCCCACCUCUAAUUUUACUGUUUUAGUUAUUUGUAACCACUUGCAACUUACUAUUUCUAUGUCAUCUCUAUUUUUACUCUUUAAAUUUAACACAACAAAUUUCAAUGUUUUCACAUCCACUACUUUUUUUACUACUUAUUUUAAAUUUAAUAUUAUAACAACAUAUAAUAAUUUAUUCAUAAUCAUACUCUUAGUAUCAUAAUUUGUAAUAUUAUACAUAAAUACAUAAAAUAUUCAUAAAAAUGUGGUUUACUAAGUAGAGCGAAACAUUUAUCAGAAUUGUGGCUACUUCUUUUUUUUUCUUUUUCUUUUUGGAAAAGAAAAUAGAGGCCCAAAUAUUAUUUUGGACAUAUUGGUCCUAAACUCCAAAUUUAGUUCAGGCUUCAGCCUUACAAGCCGGUAAUACUAGCUUAAAAAAAAACAAGAAGAUAACAUGAUAGCUUUUUUUUUUUGAAAUUUCCGGAUUGGGCUUUAUUAUGAAAAUAAAUACAUAUUGUUCUAGUCUGAAAUCAAAACCAAAUAAACCAAAACGUAAUAAAAAAACCUAAAACUAAAACAUGGCCCAAAUCAAAAGGCCUUAAAACAAAAACUAGAUAUUAUAAACGAAAAUUCUAGAACCGGCAUUAAUGCACCGAUCCAAUGCCCAAUCAGAAGUUGUUGAAAACCGUCUUCCACUCUUCCUGUCAUUUCAAUUCAUUUUUGACGAUUUCAUUUCCAAAUUAUGCCAAGAAAAUCGAUCCAUAUCCUUUACUAUUCUGAGGCUUCCAUUCUCCAUUCUUCCACUCCUGAAAACUCCUAAUCUGGUCGUCUUCUUCCAUCGUACCGAGCUUGAUCCAUGGCGUACUCAGGAACUCCCCUGUCCAGGUAAAUUUCUUCUCCUCUUUUUAAUGCUUCUGUUGCUAAGAUAUGAGCAAGAUUAUUCGCAGAUCUAGGUGUAUGUUGAAAUCUUAUAUUAUCAAAUCCAUAUAAUUUCUGUUGAAUAUCAUAAAUGUAAGCCCCUACCAUUGAUCUGUCUUGACCCUUUGAGUUGCAUUUCUUGAUGAUUGCGAGGGAAUCUCCUUCAAGAAUCAGAAACUGCCAUCCCUUCUCGGUUCCUAUUUGGACUGCUCUCCAGCAAGCUAUUGCUUCAGCAGCAAAGGCCGAUGAAAUAUUAGAAUGGAUCUCUGAGCAUGAGAAGAGGAUAUUUCCUUCCGAGUCUCUGGCCACAAUACCCGAAGCCAACCGAUUCUGUCUUUUAUCAUAGGCACCAUCGAAAUUGAUCUUUAUGAAACUCUCUUGUGGGUACUCCCAUCUCUGUUUCUCUCCGGUACGAUUCAGAUCUCAUUUUUCAAAGCUAUUGAUUUCCUUAAUGUAACUGUUUAUAAAGUUUGCCACUUCCGUCCCAUUACUCAAUUUGCCCUCAUGUAUGCUUUUGUUUCUAGCUCCCCAAAUAGCCUAAAGUGCACAACAGAAUAUUCGACUUUGAAUGAUGUUGAGCUCCUCUACUACCCCAGUGAGCCACUGUACAAACUCCUCACACUGAUUCGUCAAAAUGUUUUGAAACGAUAAUGCUUUCCAAACCUCCCUUGUUACAUGGCAUUCACGAAAUAAAUGAUUCAUUGUUUCAGCUCCUUCUCCACAUCGGGGACAGCUUGGAUUGACUGCUAACUUUCGGUGUUGUAGAUUUACCUUUGUAGGCAGAUAAUUCCAAGAUAACUUCCAUAUUGUGACCUUUAUUUUAGUCGGUAGAUUUAAGCUCCAAAGUUUUUUGUAAAAAUUCCUAUAGAUGGUCUGUAAAGCGUAAGCUCUAGGAUCUUCGGUUGAUUUUUGUAAUAGUUGAUAGGCGCUUCUGACCGUGAAUUCACCCGAUCGUUCGCCACCCCAAAUAAGAAAGUCAUCAUGCGGUGUUUGUGCCAGAGGGAUUCUGAGGAUUCUGGCAGCAUCAUCUUCCAGGAAGGUACUGGUAAUUAACUCUUUUUUCCAACUUCUGUUAUGAUUAUCAAUCAACUUAUCAACUUUAGCAUUGCGCAUAGAAUUAAUUUCUGAUGACAAUCGAAAAUUAACUGAAUCUGGAAUCCAAGCAUCAUUGAUAGAGAUAUUAGUACCCAUCCCCACCCUCCAACAGUGCCCUUUUGACAAUAAAUCUUUGGCUGCCCAAAUGCUUUUCCACACAUACGAACAGGAAUUUCCUAAUCGAGAAUUUAAGAAAUGAUCGUUCGGAAAGUACUUAGCUUUGAAUACUUGAGUUACGAGCGCGUUCUGAUUAUGCAUAAGCCUCCACCCUUGCUUAGCCAGUAAUGCUAUAUUAAAUUAUGCCAUAUUUCUAAAGCCCAUACCACCCUCCUCUUUCGGCCUACACAUAAAUUUCCAUUGACACCAGUGAAUUCCUUUCUUUCCUUUACCUUUCUGCCACCAAAAUCCAGCAAAUAAAUUAUCAAACUCACCACAAAGCGAAUUUGGUAGUAGAAAACAUGUCAUUGCAUAAGUAGGAAUUGCUUGAAGUACUGAUUUGACGAAAACCUCUCUGCCCCCUUGAGAUAAGAAACGGGUGUUCCAAUUUUCAAUUCUAUUCUUAAUAUUGUCUUUGAGAUUCUGAAAAGAUUCCUUUUUCUUCCGACCUACUAUGUUUGGCAGUCCUAGAUAUUUCUCCAUGUUAGUCGAACACCUUAUUCCCAUUUCAGCCGAUAUACUUCCUUUAUCACCCUCUACCAAAUUCGAACUAAAGAAAAUCAUGGACUUAUCAAAAUUAACACAUUGACCAGAACAGGCCUCAUACUCUUGCAAAAUAGCUUUUAGGUUCCUUGCACUCCUUUCGGUGGCUUCACCAAACAAAAUGCAAUCAUCUGCAAAUAACAAGUGUGAGAUUGUUGGGCCUCUUCUGCUUGCUCUCACCCCUUUAAUCAACCCCUCUCUUGUGGCAUUCCUGAUUAAGGACGAUAAACCUUCACUGCAAAUAAGAAAAAGAAAAGAGCUAAGUGGGUCACCUUGUCAGAGUCCUCUAGUUGAUUUGAAAACUCUACCGCUCCUCCCAUUUGUGGUCAUAACAUAAGAGACUGUAGAAAUACAUCUCAUUACUAAUGCCACCCAUUCCUUCGCAAAUCCCAUCCGUAUCAUCACUUCUUUCAAGAAAAUCCAUUCAACUCUAUCGUAGGCUUUACUCAUGUCCAGCUUAAUCGGCAUGAAUCCCUUUUUUCCUAUGCGUUUUUUCCGAAGAGUAUGUAGAAUUUCAUAGGCUAUCAAAACAUUAUCUGAAAUAAGCCUCCCUGGGACAAAAGCACUUUGAGCGCUGUCAAUACAUCUCCCAAUGACUUCUUGAAGACGAUUGGCAAUAGCUUUGGCUAUAAUUUUAUAUAGGACUGUACACAAACUAAUCGGUCUAAAAUCGACAAGAUUUGUAGGAUUGAACUUCUUCGGAAUAAGAGUAAUCUUAGUUAGGUUUAACCCUUCCACAUCUUUUCUGUUGUUCAAAAUUUCCAAACAAAAAUCCCCAAUAUCUCCACCCACAAUACCCCAGUAUUUUUGAAAAAAUAGAGCCGAAAAUCCAUCAUACCCUGGAGCUUUUGUAGAACCCAUUCCUUUCACUGCUAUGUAGAUCUCCUUUGUCGUAAACUUUUUCAAAUGGGCAAUGUUAAUAUCCGAAGAAAUACUAUUUUGAAUACCUGUUAAAAGGUGGGAAGAAUCUCCAACACCGGUAGUCCAAAAAAGCUUCUGAAAAUACUGCGUCGCCAUCUCAUUAAUUUCUGAUUCCUCCGUAAUUCCUUUUCCAUCAGCACUUUCAAGCCUACUGAUUGUAUUAAUUCUUCUCCGCAUAGAUGCAUAUUUAUGAAAAAAUGCCGUGUUCUUAUCUCCUAACUUCAGCCAAUUAGCUCGUGCUCUCUGUUCCCAGUACAUCUCUUCAUUUUCAGUCUUCAUACUCAAAUGAAUUCUUUUAGCAAUAAUCUGGCUCAUAACAUCUUCAUCAAGCUCCUUCUUCAUUAAGUCUUCAGGCUUUUUUGUAAUUUUGUCCGUCAACCCUUUUCGUUUCUUCUUUAUGAAUUUUGCCCAUUUCGAUAAGCUAAUUUGUAGAUUCUCAAGCUUCUCUAGAACCGAUCCAUUUGAAAACGUCUAGGAUGUCCGAAUUUCUUUUUCUAUUGAUUCCUCUGUAGUCCACCAAGCUUCAAAUUUGAAACUUUGAUCAAUCUUAAAUCGGCUUGCAUUAGUUGUGCUUAUUAGGAGAGGACAAUGAUCCGAAAGGGUAGACGUUACAUGAUGGACAUUGCCUGUUGGAAAUAAAUCCAUCCAUUUUUCAUUCACCACACCCCUAUCCAAUCUUUCUCGGAUGUUCGUCUUUGGAAGGUUCCCCCUUUCCCAUGUAUACCAUAUUCCUGAAUAUCCCAAAUCUAAAAGGUGGCAAUCUUGCAGAACUUCCCGGAACUCUACCAUCCUCCUUUCCUCUCUCGGUUUACCUCCCCUUUUUUCAAAUGAGUAAGCAAUUUCAUUAAAAUCUCCACUCACUAACCAAGGAUACUCUCGCUCCUGUCCCAAUAUCUUAAGUAGACCCCAUGAGGCAUUUUUAUUUUGUGAGUAGGGUGAUCCAUAAAACCCAGUGAAUCUCCAAUCUUCAUGAACACAUUCUUCUUUGACCAACACAUCAAUAUGACUUGUUGAUAGGGAUUUAAGAGUAAUUUGAGCCUCCUGUCGCCAUGCUAAGCAAAUCCCACCUCGCGUUCCAACAGCUCAUAUUUCAAGCCCAUUCAUGAAUCCACACCUUAUUCUAAUUGCUUCCAUACGUUUCUCACUUACUUUAGUCUCCAUUAGGAAGACUAAUUAAGGAUUAUUUUGUUUCAGUAAAAACCGAAGCUUUCUUACUGCCCGUGGACUCCCCAAUCCACGGACAUUUCAACAUAUGAUUUUCAUUGUGCCCGGUCGGCUUGCCCAUUGGCAGCCGCCGAUCCUAUCUGGUUGGAAUAUUCCAUUUGCAAACUGGUUUCAUCCUCCGUGAUUAAAUCCUGUCCAUUGUAUCUCGCCCUUUUUGGAUUCUCUUCCUGAAUCUCUUUUGCCCUGUAUUCAUCUUGUACUAACUCUGCCAAUUUCCUUUUUUGCAAUUUACGAUCUACCUCAUGAUCUUUCAUCACUCCCAUUAAUUUCAUUCUUUUCCAACUAGCUUUCCUGACUUCAGAUUAGUGACGUUACUAUUUACAGUGUCUCCUUCAUUGAUUCCUUCUCCCUUCCUUAUUUCUAAAUCUGCAGCCAUUGAAGUCACCCAAACGCCAUCUUGGACUUCUUUCAUCAUGUCACUACUGUGUUCCAUGUACAUAAAUAUCUCAUGAUCCUUUGCAUUACCUCCAACAUACGAGCAUUGUGGUUGUAAUUUUUUUGAUAAAGCAUUUAGCUUUAGACUUUCCCUUCCAACCAACGUUGAUUUCGCUUUUAAUGCUAAAGAGUAAGGUGGAUCCUCUUUAAUUCAAUUUUUCUCUGCAGGAUUAAUUUCUGAGCAAUCGUGGAUGCCAUGCCCCAACCUAUCACACCCAAAACAGAAAGUCGGCAACUUUUCAUACUUGAAAGGGAUCCAAAAUUUGUUCUCAUUCCCUAUUGAAACAAAAAUACCCCUGCGAAGGGGUCUCUGUACAUUUAACUGCACUCUGAGACGACAAAAUUCACCAAGUAUUUCAGAUCUGAUCACCCCUCCAAAAGUGACUCCUAUUGCAUGCAGAAGAUCUUUUUUAUCAAAUUCUGGUAAACACGGCCCAAUUUUUAUCCAGAACGGAGAUGAGACAAGUUUAAUUUGAUCUCUCGUCAUUGGUUUACUCAGUCGAUAAAACAAAAUUAAUUGUUUCCUAAACAACCAUGGCUGGCCUUCCAUAACAAUCUCUAAGUCCUCUUCUAAUUCAAACUCUAUCAAGAACAGAUUUUGUCCAACCACUUGAAUCACGAAUUUCUUCCUUGUUUUCCAAAUACUCCUCAUCUGUGCUUUGAAGCUUUCUUAGUUGUAAGAUUUCUUAGUCCAUAUAGAGCAUAUCAGAGAAAAUUUACCGCUUGGCUCCACCAUCGAACUUUUUACCGAAAGUUGAAUAAGCUCCUCUGUUAAUAAGGAGAUCUCAUCUCCCCCAAACCCAUCUUCACCACCACUUUCCAUUAUCCCAAGCCACAGCCGCCACUGUAAUCGCUAGGAUACCAAGGAUAGCACUCUUGGUUUCUAGGGUUUUUUUAUUGAAAAUCAUAUAUAUUUGAAAACUCUUUUAUAACAUGAUAGCUUUUAAAAUUGGUAUAAUAACAACUUUAACACUUAACAUUUGUUCAUUGUGUUAAUUUAAUAUUGAUUCUAAAAAAUUUAACUCUCAACGAUUUACACAUUACAUAAUAUAGUCUUUUUUGUAGUUUAACUUUUCAUUGUGAGUUGAGACAGUGAGGGUUAAUUUUAAAAGAAUGAGAAAAGAUGAAAAAUAUCUUGAUUUUUUUUUGUUUUUCUAAUUUUUGGUUUUUUUAAUCAAAUUUAGCUGAAUUUAAUUUCUUUUAGAUACCAGGAUCACAAAGAAAAACAAAGUACAAAUAAAGAUCAAAUUACACAAUUUGUAAAUAUCGAGGGUUAUAUUUUUUUUUAAAUCAAGACUAAAUUGAUACAAUAUAUAAAUGUUGAAAGUUAAAGUUAUUAGUAUGUCAAAUUUAAAACAAUCAUGUCAUCUUUCUGUUAUUCAUUUAACGGUGACCAAAAAUGAUAAAAAUAAAUAAUUGAGUAACCAUUUUAUAAUCUUUUAUAUUUAAAGGAUCAUAUUACCCAAUUUUUUAAGUCCUGGGCAUGUUAAGAAAUCACCAGAUUUUUAUCGCAAGGUUGUUUCUUAACCCGUAUGUAACGGUUAAGUGCACAGUUUCAUUUAACCCCAUAUAGGCUUAAUUUUGUCAAGAAAUCACCAUAUUUUAUUUCACUUUGUUUCACUAAUUCAAUGCGCACCGUUUAGUUCACUUUGUUUUAUUUCUCUAGUUUUAAUUUUGUCCCGUAACAAAUGCUGCCCUCCAAAAGAAGAUCAUUGUCCUCAAGGAUCAAAGUGAGAAUAAGUAGCAUACAGCUGUUGCCGUGGUUCAAUCCUUUGUUCACGCUAUUCUUGUUGUUGCUGAAAGUUGACCUAGGCAAGCAUAACCUUAAUCUAGCUCCCUAUGAGUGUCUCAUGCUCAAGCAAUGCGUUAGCAAGUGCAUAAUGUUCUUUCCUGUGGGUGGUGAGAAUGGUUUUUGUAUUGUCAUAAUCCCUCUCUAGCAACUCCCUCACUUCUUUCUCGAUAAAAAGCCUAAUCUCAGUGUUCAUGCUCCUACCGUUGUAUUGUCAUAAGCCCCACUUCUUUACUCAUGCCAUACCUUGUAACCAUGCUUCGAGCUAGAUUAGUCACAUUCUUAAGAUCAGACUGUGCACCAGAAGUAACUUCAUUUUCCCCAAAGAUAAGCUCUUCUACAACCCGUCCUCCCAUAGCAACAUCAAGCCUUGCAAGCAUUUGCUUUCGAGAAAAGCUUGUUUUAUCCUUGUCAGGCAACUGGUACACCACGCUAAGAGCCAUUCCUCGAGGGACUAUUGUUACUUUGUGAACAAGAAGUGCCUCAUUAGUAUGGAUUGCAACAAGGGCAUGGCCAGCUUUAUACAAGGCUGUCAAUUUUCGUACUCCUCAGAAAUCACAACUGACUUGCGUUCACUUCCCAAUAUGAUCUUAUCUUUUGCAUAUUCUAGAUCGGCCAUUGUAACUGCUUUAGCACCAUCCAUUGCAGCCUUUACAGCAGCAACAUUGCUCAAAUUUGGUAGAUCAACACCAGAGAAUCCAAUAGUACCUUUAGCAGUGAUCAUUAAAUCAACAUCUUCGGCCUUCAAGACCUUUGACAUGUGGGAUUCCAUAAUCUGCCUUCACUGUCCAAGUCCUUUACUAAUCCCUCUAUCUUCAACAAGUGCACCAAUACCAAAAAUCAACAAUAAGCCAAGUGCAAGACUACAAAAAAUACAGCACAAUUGAUCAUUAAAAUUCCCUAAUUCUGAAGACACCAUGUGGAUAGGAGCACUAGUAGUUCCUAGGUAACUAUUUUUUACAGGUUUUCCCAUAUUUCGCAGAGCUGAAAGUCCCCCCUUUACUCUCUUUGUCUCUUGCUGAAUGAGAUAUACCUUUUUGUAAUGUCUUAAGCAACUCACUUUCAUCUAGCGUAUCGACUUUGACUAAUGCUUUAACAUACUCAAAAACUGCAAAAUGGUUAGAAUGCGAAACAUGACUCAUCUAUUUCACUAGGGAAAGUGAGAAAUGUUGAAUCUAGUGCACUAAGUGUAAUAUUUUCGUCAAUAUACACUUGUAAUUUUUUUCGAACAAAUUGGUUAAUAAAACAAAUUCAUUGAUUACAUUAACAUACUUUAUAUAAUUAUCCUCACAUGAUUUUUGCACGCAAAGCAAAAUGGAAGCAAAUGUUGAUCAUUGGUUAUCUAAAUGUUUAACUAAUACUAAACGGUAUUAGACCUGAUCAUGGGUCGGGCCACCCGACCCGGCCUUGUAACACUCCUUCCCCGUAUUCGACACCGGAAUAGGGUACGAGGCAUUACCAGAACACAUACACUUGUAAACGUAUUUAACCGAGUUAUAAGAUUUCAUCUAAAUUAAAACUUUCAAAUUAUUAACAUGCUUUUAUAAUUCUUCAUAAUAUAUCAUCAAAAUACUAUAUUCAUAAUAAAUAGGGCCUACGAGACCCGAUACAUAUUCAUGCAAUUCAUAAGUCUUAAUAAUUCAAUGUUUCAUUUCCAUUUCAUUCAAUUCACAAAUUUCUCAUGUUCACAAUUCAAAUCAUUAAGUUUAAUUCUAAUAUGUAUUUACCAUUUAACUCAACAUUUAUCGAUUAUACCAUUCAUUAACACAUUUAUGAAAUUCUUAAUUUUUGCAAUGAAAAUAUCACUUUAGCUUAGAUAACAACAUCAAUUCAACUCAUCAUCUCCUUUUUCGUCAUUUUACAUUUCAAGUAUGAACUUACUAUUUCAUUACCUUUCCACACUCGUUUCCUAUGCACAUCACACUAGAUAUAAACAUAUCAAUCAACCAUAGUCGCAAGCUAGUGUAUUUAAAUAUAACCCUUUUUGGAACUAACCACAUGAUAAACCAUUUCACUAGAGAUUACAUAAUUUAAACCUUACCACCCUUUUCAUGAUCACAAACAUAUUUCCAAUUAGGCACUUACCAUUUCAAUGCAUAACUUAUAAAUUUAACGUGGCAUAAUCCAACCACUACUUGGCCAAAGCCUAAGCAUGUACACCAAAUAUGUUAGCCAAAUACACAUAUAGCAUAAGCAUUAUAAGCAUGGAUGAGCACAACAUUUAUUCAUGUAUCACACUUACCAACAUGUGUUAAUUCAUAAACCAUUCAUGACAUUACUUCAUGCCAAAUCAUAUACCAAAUAUAUCAUACACACAUACUAUGAAAUUUUAUUUUCACACAUGACCUUAAACCAUGACCAAUAAUACACAAAUAUAAGCAUCAUUUAUAUUUCAUCGUUUAUCAAUUAUAAUCGAGCAUAUGAUCAAUUAUACACAAAUCAUUCAUAUAUUUCCCAAUUUUCCUCCUCCUCCUCUCCAUUCCACAUCCUUAAUAUGUAUAACACAUUUAAACAACAUUAUCCAUACUAUCACUAUUUUCCUGUAUGUAAAUUCAAGUUGUCUGUCUAAGUAAGAGUCGCUAAUUUAUUUAUAUCUCAAGCUACAGAGCUCCAAAUUAAGAUCCAUUAAUUUUCCCUGAAACUGGACUCAAAUAUCUUCUUAUCAUAAAAUUUUCAGAAUUUUUGGCUUAGCCAAUAAGUACAGUUUAUUCUUUAAAGUUUCCCCUAUUUCACUGCUCGACAGUUUUGACCUCUCUGUACUAAAAAUUAAUUAUCUCAUUGUACAAAAUUCUGAUAAUAUUCUCAUUUGUUUCUUUUGAAAAUAGACUCAUUUAGGAUUCUAAACAUAUAAAGUAGCCCAUAAUUGUUUUUGUACAAUUUUUAAUGAUUUUCCAAAGUCAAAACAGGGGAUUUCAAAAUCAUUCUGGCCCUAUCUCACUAAAAUUCAAAUAUCUCAUAAUAUAAAACUCUUUUGCUUGCUCUUUUUUUUAUACGAAAAUAGACUUAUUCAGCUUUAAUUUCAUAUAUUAUUCAGCCUCUAAUUCAAUUUUCACCAUUUUUAGUGAUUUUUCAAAUUCACACAACUGUUGUUGUCUAAACUGUUUUAUUGCUGAAUGUACUCUUUCAUAAUUUUUCACUUUUUCUUACUUUUCUUUUUAUCGAUUAAGGUCAAUUUCUCAUCUUUCUUGAUUUAUAACAACACAUUUAACUUAUUUAACACUCACAUUAUUCAAUUUAGUUCAAAAUCACUCUUUGGAAAAAAUUACAUUUUGCUCCUAAACUUUUCAUUCAUUCAUAUUUCGUCCCUAGGCUCGAAAAAUGAAAUUCAUGCAAAAUCAUAUGUAUCUAUAACAGUCCAUAUAUUUCACAAAAAUCAAAAUUUUCCUUUGAAUUUCACAAGUUUACCAUUUAAUCUCUAAAUCUCAAUUUCACCCAAAAUCACUUUGUAAAAGUUGUUUAUUUACUAACAACCUUUCAUUUUCUACCAUAAAUUUUC
rnacentral:lncRNA from 1 species